GUAAAAAUGGUGUCCUCUAUCAUCACAUAAUGUAUCUUGAAAUCCAAGCAUUUUGCAGUUAUAAAAAGCUGCCUUAUCACCACUAACUCUCAAUGCAACUGCCUGAGCUCCCGGCUUUUUCGAAUUAGGUCCUGGUGCAGUAUUCUAUAUCAAAGAAAGAAAUGAAAUAAUAAAUCACAAGAACAAAAAUUAUUAAGCAAAAUAAAGUGAUAAUUAAGGCAUAUGCAUGUAUAUGUAUGCUUAUAUGUAAAUACCUUAAAAAUAAUAUUAACGGCCAUGAAAUAAUUAGGCUCUAUAGCUACGGAAGCACUGGCAAGAGUUCCAUACUCAUGAGCGGUGCCACCAAAUGCCAAGGUGGGCGUGGCUUUAGGAUCUCCAAGGAAAGUAAUAAAAUGCUUAGUUCUUUCGAUUUGGAUCUUCUCAGUGUAGACUCCAGGACCAAUUUUUAUAAUUACACGUUGUUUAUUGUUUAACGGAACACUAUUAAUGGCAUCAGUAACUGUCUUAAACUCUCCUUUUCCAUCUUUUGAUACUAUAAUUAUUCUGGAUUUAGCCUCAGCAGCUUCAAGAGCAGGAUCUAAGGUGCCUUUACGACUUCUCCAAGGUUUAACGUUUGUUUGAAACCAAUUACUUACCUUAGAAUCGUCGGCUGGUAUUGGUGUUAUAUCAUCAGAGCUAACGGUGGUUGCAACAACAAGAAUGGCAAUGAGGACACAAUAAGUUGCAUCAAUAUAUCGUCCUCUUACCAUUCUGUAGUUACUUCCUCCCGUUGAUUUAUUUGUUCAGAGUUCUUUGAUUGGUUGCUUGCUUUUUUCUUUACUAAACGAUUCUAAUUUAUAGAAGUAUAAAAUACUUUAUAUAAAAAAUACUUAAAAAAGUGAGAAUAGGAGAAUUUAGCGCAUUUAUAUAGCUAAAAAUAGACAAAGUGUUAAGAUGUCACGAUCUCUAUUGCCUUUUCCGUUUUUAUUUCAUGAUCAUAAGAAAAGUCCAUUCAACCAAAUAUAUAGGAUCUAUUCUCUUAAAAUGAAAAGAAAAGAUAAGAUAAAAGUAAUUAAGAGUCGAUGAUCAACCAUUUAAUUAAUUAAUCAAUUCAUUAAUAUAUAACCGAUAUUUUAAAUUUUGUUAAAAAUUAUGUAGAAACAUUUCAUAUCUUAGGUCAAUUGAAACUUUAAAUGAAUAUAUGCUAAUUAUGAGUCAAACCAAACAAUGAGAUGAUCUUAUUGGUGGAACAUUUACCAUGUAAAGAUAAAUUUAGCAGUAUAUUUUAUUCCUUCCUUCUCAUAAUUUUUAUUUAUUUUUUAUUUUUUAUUCUUUUAAUUAUUUUAAAAUUAUUCUUCAUUUACUUUUUAAUCGACAAUAAUAUAUAAAUUAACUAUUAUAAUCUUAUUUAAUUUUAUUUUAUUUCUAAUAAAUCUUUUAAAAUAUUUUUUAAUAUUUAAUAAAAUUUAAUAUACUUAUAAUGCAUAUAAUUGAAAAGUUAAUAAAAAAUAUACUUCUUAAUUUAUACUUCUUAAUUUAUAUAUAUAUAAAUAAAAUAAAUAAAAAUCAUGAGGUGAAAAAGUAAAAGUUCAAUAUUUACAUCGUUUUGCAUUUUAAUUUAAAUAUUUAAAUUUUAGAUAAAUUAACUUAAUAUUUACAUUUGAUUAUAAUUUUUAUUAAUUUUUAAAAUUUAAAAUUUGAGAGUUGAAAUGAGAUGUUAAAUAUAAUAUUUUAUUGUUUAUUAAAUGUAAACCAAUUAUAUAUAUAUAAAUAAUAUUAAUACAUACUUAAUUGUAGUUAACUAAUAUUUUUAAUUUUAAAAAUAAUGAUAAUCUAACUGUAUGAAUUUAGUUUUACAGCAAUGAUUAAGGAAAAUUUGUAACAUAUAUGUUAUUUUUAUUAUUUUAUAUAUAAAUAUAUGCUAUUUUAAAUUAAUAAUAUAUUUAUUAUAACAUACUUAUGAUUAUUGAUGUAAAAUAAAAUCUAUUAAUAUUGAAGGUGUGAAUGACAUAUUUGCUAAUUGUGUAGUUUAUUUUUUAAUUUUGAUUUUAAAAAUGAAUUAAAAUUACAUCUAAAUAUAAAGUCAAUUUAUCUAAAAUUUAAAUAUUUAAAUUAUAAUACAAAAUGAUAUAAAUUUAGAGUAUUUUUCAUCCAAUUGGUUUUGUUUUUAUUGUGUAUCAACUUUUUUCUAUUUUUUAAUUUCUUUAAUUUUAAAUUUUAAAUUAUUUAACUUUAAUUUGGAUUCCUUUCUAAUUAAAAAGAUUGGAGAAAGAAUAAAUUUUGUAACUAAUAACAGAAAUUUAUCUAAUAAAUCAAAUAAAAAAUCACAAUUUUUCUAAUGCAAUGGCCCCAAAAGAACCAACUUACUAAAAGAUAAUAACUUUUUUCUUUUAUCAGAUGUAUUCAUUGAUUUAGUAUAAAAUUGCAUGGAUUAAGGCUCUAACAUAUACAACCAUGAUUUUUAAAACCCGGCUUAAGAAAACAUACGGGACGAAUCUCAGAAAAAGAGAGAAAAAAUGACAGAAAAUGGAUACAAGAAAAUUGUCGCCGGGAUUGCUUUGGAAAAACUACUGAAAAGAUUUCAUAGAGCGUAAGAAGGAGAAAGGUGAGAAGAAAAUUAUAGUCUACAACUUUCGGUCUUUAAUAGUCAAGGGUGGCAGCCAAAAAUGAACUAUUGACUUUUAAUCUCUUGAGAUGACCUCCUUCUCUAACCCAACAAGCAAAAGCACUUCUUUGAGGCAGUUGUUCCUCAAAAUUGCAAGGCAAUAGAAAUUUGUAAACACUAAAGAAAAGAAAACUCAUACAGCAAAAGUGAAAAUAAAUUUGCAUGACACUCUCUUUUUAUGAAACUCAAAUCUAUUUGGAAAAAAAAAAUCAAUAAAAUAAUUAUUUACAUUCAUCGAUAACGAAAUGAGUGAAUCCUCAAUCGAUAAGGAAAAGGUUGGUCUCUCAUGACAAAUGAGUAGGAGAAAACUGUAAUACCCGGCUAGAGUCCGGCGUCGGAAGUCCUGUAGUCCGAUGGACUUUCUGAUGUCGGAAUCCUCUGGAAGGGUACGGAUUAUAUUUUUCUAUGUUUUGAAAGCGUUUUCAUGUUUUAAAGUGAUUAAAGAAGUAAGGUUUUGCAAGAAAAGCACCAAGGCAGAAAAGCCAAGGUUCGGCCGCCGAAAGUGACUUUCGGCCGCCGAACGUGCAUGGCAUUCGGGUUCUCAUUCGACCGCCGUAAUUGGUCUGGCUAGCCAACUAUAAAAGGCCCUAGGUCGGUCAAAUGGAUAAGAUUUUCUUUCCAUUUGCAUGAGCUGAUGUGAGACUUGAUCUUCCUUGAGUGAUUUAUGUGUUUUCUCAAAUCUUUCAUGGUUUUGAUGGUUUUUCAUGUGGUUUUGAAGUUUUUGAGACAAAGAGCAAGGUUGGAAGCUUGGAGAGUUUGAGAGAGGAUUUCUCCACAUCUCCACGUAGGGAUCGUUCAAUCUCUUGUUUGGAAGAGGUAAGUGAAGAUCCUGAACUUCCUUUCUUGAUUUUGAAGGUUUUAUGGGAGUUGUAUGGGUAGUUAUGCAUGUUUAGAUUAAGGGAGGUUUUUGAGGAUUUUUGGUGUAUCAGCAUGGUUAAGUGUUAUUUGAUAUGUUUGUUGGAGGUGUUAGGAUAGGUUUAGACCUCUUUAUGCAUGUUAUAUGGUAUAUGCUAGUUGGGAGUAGUUGCUAUGCAUGUUGGAUAGGUUUUGGGUGAAGUUUGCAUGAAACAGAGCAGGUUUCUGCCCAAAGGGCAAAACCAGGUUCGGCCGCCGAAGGAAGGUUCGGCCGCCGAACCCCUUGUGGAGGCAGUUUCGGCUGCCAAAUCUUGCCCCCGAACAAUUGGACUUUCGUCUCUGGAGGCAAGGUUCGGCCGCCAAAAGUGCCGCUGAAGGUUGAGUUUCGUCUCUGGACGAGACUUUCGGCUGCCAAAGGUGCCGCCGAACAUGCAUGAGUUUCGUCUCUGGAGGGGAGUUUCGGCCGCCGAAUCGGCCGCCGAACCUGCCGCCGAAAGUGCCCUGUCCAGCUUUUUUUUGCAUGCUUGAUGUGAUUGUUCUAGGAUGCUUUAGAGGGUUUUUGGGGAGUUUCUUAGAGAUGUUCUUGAGUUCGUUUGGUCCCUCAUUUCAGUCCACCUGUGUAGGAACGGACCAGAGGAACCAAGGAGUUCAGCAGUGAGCACUGCUUCAGAACCUGCAGAGUCAGUACUGAGUCAGCCAGAGGUGAGUGGAACUGAACUAAAUCUUUUAAUCUGAGCACUCAAACAUUUUUAGCAUGUUUCAUGCAUCAUUUAUGCCAUGUUUAUAGUAUUGCAUUAGUGAGCACAAAGAUGUUGCAUUAAUCAGUGCACGUACAGAUCGGGCGUAGCUUGGAUUCAUUAGCCCCCUAAAUGAAGACCUGAGGAGCCCUGAAAGGGCUGGGUACACGGUACCAUAGGGUGCUGAAUGAAGACCUGAGGAGCUCCUUCGCGGGCCGGGCAAUGUGGGGGAAUUUUGAAUUAGUCCGUCUGAGAUUAUGUGAUUUACUUGUGAUGUGAUGCAUUCCAUGAGAUCAUGUUUCUAACAUGUUUUAUAUGUCCUACUCACUGGACUAGUAUAGCUCACCCUCUCCCUUAACCCCAGUCUUGCAGGUUCAGGGUCCAGAGGUGUCAGCAGGGUACAGAUGGAGAAGAGUUAUGUAAUAGCUAGUAUGGACAUGUAAUUGUAAAAGAUAGGUUAUGUUGUAGAGAUGUAUAGAUGAUGCUUGACCCUAUGAGUUGUAAUCCCUUUUGUAUAUACAUGGUCUGUUAUGAAAAUGAUUUUAUUGUAUAUGUAUGAAAAAACCAGGCUUAACAUUAUAUGAGUUGACCCGCCUAGAGCAAAGAUGAGAGCUCUAGCAGGGGUUUUACAGAACAGAGAUAGAGUAUGCACAGGUUAAGCCUUGGAACAGAGAAAAGUUUUAAUGUUUACCGAAAAUGUAUGAUCAUGUAUGGGAUUUCACAGGUACACAGAGUUCACAGCAGGCUUGCUACGGGUCCCGGCGGCCUUAAGCCGAUCUGGAUCCUAGCGCCGGUAGCAGUUCGGUUUCCGGGCUGUUACAAAAACUAAUAGAAUGACAAACAAAAGGAUUGUAACCCUAAACAAAAAGGAAAAAUAGUAGGGAGAGUUCUAAUUAAAAAGUUAAUCCAUCGAUUUUAAAUAACGGUAGAAUUUGAAAAUAACCUUUCUCAUAAAAUAUCAUGUGCAAAGAGCAAUACGUUUUCAAUUUAUGAAAUUAUAAUAAAGAAUAAAAAUUUUAAUAUAAUUCUAAAUAUAAUUUUAAAAUAAAACUACUUCUAUAUUAUUUAUGUAAGAAUAAUAUUAAUAAAUAAAUUAAAAUUAUGAUUUUAAUGGAACAAACUAAAAUUAUAUAAGAUAUUAAUUUGAUUGAUUUUGGAAUUUUAAUGGUUGUGGGCUUUAAAGCUUAUAUAUGCUAAUUAUGAAUCAAACCAAAUAAUGAAAUGGUCUUAUUGUGAGACCUUACUAUGUAAAAGUCUUAUAGAGCUUUUUUUUUUUUUAAGUAAAACUACUAAUUGUAUUAAUAAAAUUUCAUUAAAUAUCGAAGGAUAUCAUUCCAAAUAGAGAGACGAUUAUGUCUAAUAGAUUCUCUAGUCAAAGUAUGAGCAGUUAGAGUAGUAUUACGACGAACCUAUCUAACAGAAAUAUCAGUUUUAGAGUCUAACAAAAAUUUACAAUCAUUCAAAAUCAAACUCCUGCAUAAGAUAAUUUGGCAAAAAUACUUCUCAAGUGACUGUCUAAACCCUGCAUAAGAUAAUUUGGCAAAAAUGCUCCUCCUUCUUUCUCAUCUCUCGAGCAUAAAUCAUUAAAGUCUUCCAAAGCCACGGAAGAGAGCUUCUACGAGAUAAAGCUCUAAUAAAGUUCCAAGACUGACGUUGUCGUUGCAAUUCCAGAAACCCAUAAUAACUAGUAAACCCCAUUGAACAUUACCUUCCGAAAUAACCGAAUCAAUAAAAUUUGAAAAAAAGCCAACCACAGAAAUAGACACAUGACUCUUCCACAUUAACGUAAGGCCUCCUUCUCCAAUCAUUAUCUAUUGACUGAGAAGCAACCAUCAAAAUAUAAAAAACUACGAAAAAUUUUCAUAUGAGAACUAAGAGUUUUUGUUUCCAUUAAAAAUAAAAUGUCCGACUUGUAACUAGUAACCAAAUCCUUCAAUACAUUAACUGUCCGAGAAUUGCCGAGUACUCGGCAGUUCCAACACAGGACGAUCAUUGCUUUCGGCUAUCCCGACCUUUGACGGGAUGAGCCGCUUCACUGUUGCCUAUCAAAUUAAUAUUCGCAGGGGUGUUAUUAGAGACAUCCUGUUGAGAGGAAGGAAAACCUGUAACAACGUUAUGUUUAGUGUUUUUUGGCCUUUUUUUAGUAUCAUAAUUUAUUCGGGCUGCAAUCUCAUCAAGCUUAUCAGGGACAACAACAUCCCCAUCAAGCUUAUCAGGGACAACAACAUCCCCCUCUAAAGAAUGCUAUAAAUCUGCUAAAGAGGUCUGCAUAUUCUAAAAAUUGAUUGGAUUAUAUGUGAGAAACAUCUCCAACAUACAGAAAUCAUAAGUGACGAUCGGAAUAUCUCUGGAGCUCUUGAUAGGGACAACAAUAUUUUCUUCAUCGAUAGUCAAUUGACGCAUAUCGUCUUCCAUGGAGAAAGGGAAAUAAGAAGUUAGGUUUAAGGAAGAGAAAAAGACGAGAACAUUGAGUUAGAAAGGGACCAUAGAAGGAAACUUGCAUUGAAAGUAAGUAAUUAUUAAAUUUAAACUCCUAUUUAUAGAGUUGCCUUUAAAAUUAGAUAAUUUAGUAGAUUUUUUUAGUAUAGUGUAUUAUAUAUAGUAAAAAUUAAUUUUUUUUUACAAUAAUUUUAAAUUAUUGUAAUUAUUGUAUUAAUAAAAUUAAGAUAAUAAUUUCACAUUCACUAUUAAAUAUUAUUAUCUAAAUACUCAAAUAUUAGUAUUAUAUAUANNNNNNNNNNNNNNNNNNNNNNNNNNNNNNNNNNNNNNNNNNNNNNUAUAUAUAUAUAUAUAUAUAUAUGUAUAUGUAUAUGUAUGUAUGUAUUAUAAUGUGAUAAGAAUAUUAUCUUUAUUAUGUAUUAACCUUUUCUCUAUUUUCUAAUUUCUUCAGGUUUGAGUUUAAAAUUAUUUAACUCUAAUUAUAAUUCCUUUUUAAUUUAAAAAAUUGGAGAAGGAAUAAAUUUUGCAACUACCAACAGAAAUUUAAGUAAUAAAUCAAAUCAAACAAAAUUGCAAUUUGCACAAUAUCUAUAGUUUUAAUAAUUUCAAAAUUUUAAAAGUUUAAUUAACAUGAUUAAAUUAAAUGAUUAUGUUAGAUUGUGUUUUAAAAAUGAUCAAUUAUUAUAUUAUAAAUUAAAUAUUAAAUUAAAAUUAAUUAAUUAAAAUAUAGAAAAUUUUAAAAUAACUCAAAAUUUUUUUAAAAAAUUAGAAAAAUAAAACGCUGAAUAUAGAGUAAAUCUUGAACUUUCUCUUUGUUUCAAUUUUGAUAUAGAUAUAUAGAUAAACCACAGUAUGAAGUAUACGACAUUUUAAUAAUUAAAUUAAAUUUGAAGUUAGUUGAGUUAAAAAAAAAUUAUAUAUAUUUAAAAAAAAUCAUAUAAAUCCUUAUCUUUUCAACAUCAAAACAUGAAGAGCAUAUAUUUUUUAAUUAGGCAAAAAAUAUAUUAAAAGACGUGAAAUUUGCUCUAUACAGUGAGAAUAAAAAUAUUAAAUUUUAUUUGUUUAGUAUAAAUUUAUUUUUAAAUUAUUAUGAAAAAAUAUAUAUAAUUGGAUUCAUUAUUCGGUUUAUUAUUGUUAACUUUUAAGAAAAAUUAAAUUCAAUCAAUAUAAUCGAAAUGGUUUGGUUGUUUAACAUUCAAAUUCGAAUAAAAUUCAAAUGUUUUAAAAAUAGUAAAUCGAAAUAAAUUAAAAAGUAAAUUAAAAUUUAACUAAAUUUUUUAAUUUAAUUAUUUUUUUCGGUUAUUUCGAUUUUAAUUGAAUAGUGCGCGCUUCAAUUAUAUUUAUGUAUAGUUGUCCAACAAGUGUUUGAUACAUUUGCAUGAUUCACUGAAGUUGGAAUGCUGCUGGUAGGGGCUCAGCUAUGGAACCCGCUAGUGUUAAGUUUUCAAGUGCAAUCAUUGAAAAUUAAUUGGGUUUCACUAAAUCAAUGGAAUUUACAACUGGAAUCUCGCAUUCGCUCAUUUGAUGAUAAAUGAAUCCUUAAAAUAAUUACAAGUUUAAUUUAUAAUGAGACCCUUCAUCAAAUAUGAUUUAUGAAUUUUAAUUAAUUAAUUAGUUUAUAUACCAGGUUUGAUAAUGUAAGAAUUUUCUUGUAUAAAUUGAAUAUCAUUUUUUGUAAUUUAAUGCAAUUAAUUUUCUAACCCUUUUUAAUUCAUUACAUCUAAUAAUUGUGAUUUUAUAUUUUAUAAAAAUUUACAAUUAUACUCUAUACUUUAAAAUUUUAAAAUUAUACUCUAUUUUUUUUAGUAUAAUUCGUUAAUUGCUUCCAUUAAUUUUGUAUGAAAUGAAAUAGCCUUCAUCUAUCCUCUAAUAUGCAAUGUCACACUCCUUCUACCCCUUGCAAUUCUAUAUCAAUUUUGAUCUAAUUCAAUUCCACUAUUCUCUCUUCAGAAAAUUCUUAAAAUCAAUAAAUCUUCCAAACAAAUAAUAACUGACACUACAAAGAUAAUAUUUCAUUUAACAGAAGAAGAGAUUUCAUUUUAACCCAAUUAUAAUUUGCAAAAUAUAAUACGAAAGUAAAAUAAUAUAAUUGCUCAUAUUUAGUUUUUAGUGCAAACACAUGAUAGUAAUCUAAAUUGAGAAACAAUCAUCGGCUGAAUUUAGGGCCUCUCACAUUGUUGUUUCUUGUUCAUUGUGAUGCAACCGUAUUGCGAUAGUCGGAGAGUUGAAUCUUAUGAUGCUAAGAAUUACAAUGUCGAUAAAGAUUCAAAGGGGGCGAUCUAUGAUGAUAUGUGGGCACUGGUUGUAUUGAAUUGAGAGAGAGAAUGUGGCAAUGACUAAUGAAGACUAGCGACAUUCCACUGAGAGUGAGAUGAGAUGAAGAGGAGCUUUGGAAGCAGAUGAUGUUGCAAUGAUCGAUAAAGGUCAGUACGAUCAACUGAGAGUGAGAUGGGAUGGAAAGGAGCCAUCGAGAAAGAGGAUAUUUGUAACGACCCGAAAAUCGGACAGCUACUGGUGCUAGGAUCCAGAUCGGCUUAAGGCCGCCGGGACCCGUAGUAAGCCUAACAUACCUCCUGUAGACCUGUUAAAUCCCAUACAUGAUCAUACAAAUACAUAAAACUUUAAACUUUUUCUUUCAUUUACCAAGCUUAAUCUGUGCAUGCACAAACUCAUAACCAUAAAACCCCACACUGGAGCCCUCAUCAAAUACUCUAAUAGGGUAACAUAUCAUACAUUAAGCUUGGUUUACAUAAACAUCAUUAAAACAUUUCAUUAAAAAGAUCAUAUACCAAAAAGGGAUUAACAUACACUAGGGCCAAGCACAAUUCUAUCCUCAAUACAAUUCUUUACAUUACAUCACAUUAUAACAUUUUACAAUACAUGUCCACAACUAACUAUUACAUACAACAUGACUUCUUUACUCUUGCUGACUUCCUGAUCUAUCCCGUACCUGCAAACCUGAGGGAUUAAGGGAAUGGGGUGAGCUACUAGAGUCCAGUGAGCAGAAUAGUAAAACAUUUUAUUGAAAUUCAUGCUUUCAUGAAAUGCAUCACAUCACAAACAAAUCACAUUAAGGAUGAACUUGUCACCAAUAGCCUUCUACAUAUCCAAUAGUGCCAGAACGUAGAAUGGGCCCUGGUUUUUCCCUUACAUAACAUAUCAUAACAUUCCAAUGUGCCAGGGACGUAGAAUGGGUCUUCCUGGACUUUCUCUUACAUUGUGCCAAGGAUGUAGAAUGGGUCUUCCUGGACUUCCAUACCGUAUCAUCAUCAUAUCAUUUCAUUCCAUACGAGGACUAAUGGAUCAUCCAAUGUUCAUCCACAUCAACAUCAUAUUAUGCAAUGCAACAUAUUCGUGAAUUCUAAUGCAAACAACCUAAUAUAUCUCAUGGCAUUCGUGAUGCAUGAACAUGCUCAAAAUUUAUUUAUUUACUUUGCAAUAUAAAGAGUCAUUCUACUCACCUCAGGCUAGCUCUGAAAAGACUCUGAAGCAGCUAUCUCACUGCUGGGGUCCUCGGUUCCUCGGGUCCAAACCUAUACAGGUAGACUUAAAUGAGGGACCAACAAACACUAUCAUGACUCUAAACAACUCCCCCAAAACCCCCUAAAAUACCCUAAAACAAUCAUAGAAAUCAUGCAAAGGAAGGCUAAAUAUGGCACUUUCGGCGGCAGGUUCGGCGGCCGAAAGUCCCUCCAGAGCCGAAACUCAGCCACUUUCGGCGGCACCUUCGGCGGCUGAAAGUCCCUUCCAGAGACGAAACUCAUGCAUGUUCGGUGGCACCUUCGGCAGCCGAAACUCCCCUCCAGAGCCGAAAGUCCAACUUUUGGGGGCAGGGUUCGGCAGCCAAAAGCUUGCCUCCACAGGCAGGUUCGGCUGCCGAAAGUCCUUCGGCUGCCGAACCUGAGUUCUUCCAAGGUGGCAGAACUCAACCUCCUCAUGCACAUUUUGCCUUCCAAACCUUUCAAACAUGCAUUUAGCUAUUCUACAACAUGCAUACUCAUGCAAACAAUUAUAUAGGGGUCUCACACUCUCCUAAACCCCAACAAUAACACAUAUAGCAACUCAUACAACAUACAUUACACAUAUUUUCAACAAAACUCACAUGAAUCCUAACAUUAAACAACUAGCUUAAACAUGCAUUUUUACCCCAUAAACUUUCAUAAAACUUGCUUAGAACAUCGAAGAAGGUGAGGAUCGACGCUUACCUCUUGAAAAUCGAGAGAAAACGUGACCCAACUUGGAGAUUUGGGAAAAAUGGGUUCCGGAGGUCUCCAAGCUUCCAAACUUCGAUCUUUGCUCAAAAACUUCAAAAACAAGUUAAAACUUGUUAGAAACUUGUAGGAUUUGAAGGAAAACCUCAAAACCAACCAUGGGAGGGCAUGAACUCUCUGUUGAUCGAAAAUAGGGGAGAAAACUCGCCCAUUUUCGGCCAUGGGGUCUUUUAUAGGUAGGGGUGAGCAUUCGGUCGGUUCGGUUUAAAACCAAACCGAACCGAAUAAACCGAAAACCAAAAUUUUAGUUUUUAUGAAAACCGAACCGAACCGAUUUUGGUCAAAAACCGAAUCGAACCGAACCGGUCUGAUUCGGUUCGAUUCGGUUUGAUCGGUUUCAAUUUUUAAUAUUUUUUUAAUUUUUUACAUUUUAUUUUUAGUAUUUUAAAAUUUAAUUAAAAUAUUUUAAUUUUAAUAUAAUUUAAUUUCUCUAUAUUAUUGAAAAAACAUAUUAUUAUCCCUAAUCGGUUUGGUUCGAUUUUUUCGGUUUUUUUCUGAUCAAAACCGAACCGAACCUAAAUAACCGAAAUUUUUAAAAUUUAAAACCGAACCGAACUGAAAUGUAUAAAAAAUCGAACCAAAUUUUCAAAUCGAUUCGGUUCGGUCGGUUUUUUCGGUUUGAACCGAAUUCUGCUCACCCCUAUUUAUAGGUGGCUGGCCAGACCACCUUCGGAAACCAAAGGUGACUCCAAAACUCCACCAAGUUCGGCGGCCGAACCUGGAUUUUCCUCAAUUGUUAUUUUAAUUCAAAACUCAAUUUCUUUCUUACUUAAAACCAUAAAAUACAUGAAAACAUUUUAUAAAAACAUGAUUUUACCCUUUUAGAGGUCUCCGACAUUCGAGAUUUCACCGGACGGUAGGAAUUCCGAUACCGGAGUCUAGCCGGGUAUUACAAUAUUAAUUACAACAAUCGAUGAAGGUCAACGAUGAUCGAUUGAGAGUUAGAUAGGAUGGAGAGGAGUUGUAGAUUGAGUGACAAGUAAAAGAGAACUCUAGAACAAAAAGGAAGGAGACGGUGUAGGGAUUGAAGGAGGCAGAUGCAUGGUGGAGAUGUCAAUAAUGAAAACAUGGGAGCCAAAAAGAGAGAGGAUAGAUGAAAAGGAGGUAUAGGGGAGGGAUGGAGAUGAGAAAAAGGAAAAGAAUUUGUUUUUUAGCAAAUUAAUAUGAGAGUAGUUUUAUAAUUUUAUAAUUGUCUCUUUUUUUCUAAUAAUUAUAAUGGUAGACUAUCAGAAUAUUUAAUAAAAGAAUUUAAUACUUUUAUUUUAAAAUUAUAAAAAAAUAUUUUAAUUAAAAUUAAAAUUAUGAACACCUAGAAAUAAAUUUCAUUAAAAUUUAAUAACAACAUAAUAAUUAUUGAUUUAUAAUUUAUAUCACAACUCUAUUUGAUAUCCUGUAUUUGAUAGGAGGACAAAAUAAGAAAGACUUGAAUUCCGACGCACAAAACUCUACCAUUAAAAGACUUGCUUUUGAUUGUUCGGCUUUUCUAUGUUCUCCUUUACAGGUAAUGACGUACACCUAAUAAUAUUAUUAUAAGGACAAAUAUUCUGAGUGUUCAAUAAUUUUCCUUAUCUUAAUAAUUUAUUAAAUAUUAAUUUAGUAUUUCUACAAAUAAUCAUUUGUAAUAAAAAAAUAAAAGUUAAUAAUUACUACACACAAAUUUAUAAUAUAAUAUUAAAAUACGAAUAAAGAGCAAUGAUUAAAAUUAUUAAAAAUCAUAUAUAUUGUGUGGAUUAGAAGAUUACAGUUAAACUAUAAAAUUAAAAAAUAUCUUAUUAUAAAUAAAACUUAUCAAUCAGUCAUUAAGAAUUAUAUAUAAAUCUUAUAACUCAAGAGUUCUUAAUGAUAAUAUUAAAAUAUUAGAUAAUGUAUUAUUUUUGUGAUAAGGAGGAUAAGACACAUAUUAUUAAAAUAUUACAACAUUAUGAAGUGUAUAUAUAAAAACAGUAUGAAGAAUAUGAUAUUUUAAUAAUUAAAUUAAAUUCAAAGUUAGGUGAGUUAAAAAAAUCAUAUAAAUGCUUAUCUUUUCAACAUCAAUACUUGACAAACAUAUAUUUUUUAAUUAGACAAAAAAUAUAUUAAAAAAUAUUAAAUUUAUUAUUAUUUUUACAUAGAGUUUGAGAAUUGAGAGAGUAAAAUUUAAAAUUUUUCAGAUUUAUUUAAAAAUACUUAUCAUUAAGUUAAGUCUAUAAAUACAAAUUUACUUUUAUUAUAUUGUAAGAUUAAAGAUGUUAAUUUUUUUUAAGUAUAAAUUUAUUUUUAAAUUAUUAUUAAAAAAUUAAAUAAUAUUAAAUAACUCUAAAUAAAUCAAGAAUAGUAAAAUUUAGACUGUAAAUGACUCUAAAUAAAUUGAAAAUAGCAGAACUCAAACUCGUAGAUGAUAAAUUAUAAUUUUAUUUAGUUUUUAAUGUAAAUGUUAAAAAUAAUUUAGAUGAAAUAUUAAAUUUGAUAUUUUAAUUUAUAUUAUAUAGUUGCAAAAUAAUUUUUUUAAUUAAAAAUAUAUAUUGCGUGAAAUUGAAUUAAAAAUUCAAUAAACAGCUAAUAAAAAAUAAAAUUAGCAACCAACAAAAGGAUACUUACUCAAUGUAAGUCCUAAAAGCCCAGCAUCUCAAUCCGCCAAAUGAAAUUGGAAGCAUCAGCAACGCUUGUCCAUCACUUCCAUCAUCAAUUGAAUCAAAGAAGAGAAAAUAAUAAAAAAUUUAAGUCUUAGCAACCUACUCUUAUCAGAAAAACUGCCCUAAAACAUAAUAUGUAAACUAUCAAUUUUCAGAAAAAUCGCUCAGCAGCAAAAAUCAAGUAAGCGCAAAUUGCUAUGUUCAACCUAGACAACCUGAAUUGAGCGGCAACAUCCAUCAGAAAGUGAAAGCCAGUCUAUGCCGUUCCAUUCUAUUAUAGUCAUAGAACUAUAAUUGUAAGUAUUAUUAUGCUUUGAUAUUAUUUAAUUUAUCGACUAUUUACAAUAUUUAAUAUCAAUUAGUUAUGACAAAUCAAAUCUUAAAUGAUCCAUAAUUAUCUGUUCUAUAAUUCAUGGACAUUAAUAUCAAACUAAAUUCGAGUCUUGGUAAAAGAAUUAAGUUCAGAAUCCAUCAGAAUCCAUUAUAUAAACUAAGCCACUAAUACACCAUUUAAUUUACAGUUGAAGAGCAAGUUCUAUCACAACCCUAUCAAGACAAACGCCAGAAGAAAAUUAAAUAAUUGCGUAACGAUGGUGGACAGAUAAAUACGCCUAUACAUACGAUUUUGAGUGACAGUAACAUGUGUCACUAUAACAAAGUGAUGGUUAUAAAAAAUAAAAAUAAAUAAAUAAAUAAAUUCAAUUCAUUUAGACUAAAUUUUUUCAUAUAUAUAUAAAUUUUAUUUUAUUUUAUCUCAGAUUAUAACCGCUUAUAUAGAUUAUAACAGCUCAUAUACAUUAUAAAUCUAAACUCUAAACAUGCAACAUUACUGAAAAAAGAGCUUAAACUACAAAGAUCAAAAUCAAAAUUUAUAAAUCAGAAAAAGACAAUUGAAUCUGAGACCACCUCCUUGCAGUCGGAAAAAAAUCUCCCAACAACUAUAAAAAAUCUUGUCUCCCUGGCUCUUUUCUUUCUCUCCCUUUUCUUUCGCAAAAGCACAACCACUGAACCAUUUAGUAUUUAAUAUCAGAUGCUAUUAAAAAGAUAUUAUGAUAAUAUUAUGUUAUAUACCAUGUAAUUAUGAAUUAUAUAUAAAUUUUAGGAGAGGAUUACAGUAAAAAAAGAAAAGAAAAGAAAAGAAAAGAAAAGAAAAGAAAAGAAGGAAUCAGUAAUCUGUCGUCUUUCUAAGCCCCAAAGCUCGAACUUCGCUUCUUUAAAGCCCAUAUAAGAAAGAUAUCUGAUGAAUAGCGUCAAAACAGUAACAGAAAAAGCUUUACCAUCGGAGUUGGUGGGGAAAAAACAUCAACAAAGCAUCUUCAAUGCGAAUCUUAACAAAUCCAAACCUAAAAUCCCUUAGCUUUUUCACUCUAGUAAAAUCCACAGCAAAAGCAAUCAAAGAUCAAGCAGUGACAAAGUAAAACCCAUGGAAAAAAAAAAAAAAAAAUCAAGAACGCAGAUCAGCCUUUCAAACCAAAUAAUUAAAUUAUUAAGUAUCCACUUGCUUCAAGCCACAGCAUUGUGGACCCACAAUUCUGAGCCAUUUCACAGACGUGUCAACCCCUUCUUUUGCAUGGCGCCUUCAACCGCUUUACCUCCUCCAUUUUAAAUACCACCCCUCGCCGCUACUUUUCUUUCAGACUCGCUUCCUCUCGGUGUCUGCGGUGAUAUUUUCCCAUAUUCCAUCGUUUCUUCUGUAAUCGAUCCUCUACUUGCUGUGCAUGGAGACCCAUAAAUUUACCACCUUCUUCUUCAAUUAUGCUUUAUUUCUGGUUGUUACCCUUUUUUCUCUAUACAUAGGAGGCUGUUUAGCCUCUCGUUUCAACCGGUUUGAAUCUGGUAUUUUGAUGCCAUCAGAAGAACUUGAACCAGGAGUUGAUGAUGAUCAACUUGGAACAAGAUGGGCGGUUCUCGUUGCUGGAUCAAUGGGUUACGGAAAUUACAGGCAUCAGGUAAAAGAAAAUUCUAAUUUUUCCUUCUUCUCUUGAAACUAUGUUUCCAUCAAUCUGGUAAUCUGUGUUAAUUAGUUGGUUCACACUGCUUAAGUGAUCAAUUUACUUUUUUUUUUUUUUAUGAGCGGAGAUUGAUGAAUUUUUUUAGUUUGAUCUUACAGGCCGAUGUCUGCCAUGCAUAUCAGCUGCUGAGAAAAGGUGGCAUAAAAGAGGAGAACAUAGUAGUGUUUAUGUAUGAUGAUAUAGCUAAUAAUGAAUUGAAUCCCAGGCCUGGAGUUAUCAUCAAUCAUCCACAGGGAGACGAUGUAUAUGCUGGUGUUCCUAAGGUGCGUAUGUUUGUAUUCAUGUAUGCUAGCUAGCUUCCACUAUAUAAUAGCAAAGUCAUUGUUUCUGUAAUAGUAUCGCUCAGAUUUUUUAUUUAUAUAAUAUUAAUUUGUGGGUAGGAUUGAUUAUUUAGUAUUUAUCAUGUCUCCUAUGUUAACCAUUGAUUGGUUGGCUAUCUUCUUUGAUGAUGAUUGACAGUAUAUGAUGGUAAAAUAAAUGGACUUUAUUAGGAACCAGACAUUUUCAUAAUUGUUGUUGAUAGUGAUAUUUAAUCUAUAAUUAAUUUAAAUUUGAAACUUUGGAUACUUAAAGACAAAUGGUGGUCAGAUAAUUAAUAAGAACGUUAUUUCAAUUGAUUGGUUUAAGCAAGAUAUCCUUUAUCAUCAAAGAAUAUUAUAACUGUUAAUACAUAUUUUAAUCUACAGUUGAAAAGAUGAUACCUUUGUUGCAAAUAUUUUUGUAAAAAAAAAAAAAAAUCUAUUUAUUGGAUUUUUCUAUAAAAAAUGUCUUUCAUACUUUAGCUUGGAUUUUAUGAUUUGGCACACUUUGUUUGUAUCAAAAUAAUUAGCAGGGAGACAUGGUUGUUGAAUGCUUUGCUGGUAUCAAAGUAUUUUAAUCAAGUGCCUGAAUAUGGUUAGCCAAGCAGGAUCCAUUCCUUUGAUGUUAGAUUUUGGAAUGACAACUGUGCAAUAAUUGUACAUGAUCUAUUGAUUAUUUUGACCUUCUAAUUGGACUUCUUUUUCUUCAAACAAAAAAGAGAUGGACAUGAUGGCUGGUGAACUUGAUUGAAUUAAUUUCAUGGGAUCUUUCCUAUGCAUUUGCAUCUAAUUUCAGAUUAAUUAAUCAUUAUUUGAUGAUCAUAGAUUCACUUGAUUUUCAAUUUCUUUUUCAUAUCUUUGCAGGAUUAUACAGGGGAGAAUGUUACUACUAAAAAUCUUUAUGCAGUACUUCUGGGUGAUAAAAAUGCUGUCAAGGGUGGAAGUGGCAAGGUUGUAGACAGCAACGCCAAUGAUAGAAUUUUCUUGUACUAUUCUGAUCAUGGAGGCCCUGGAGUUCUUGGUAUUAUAAGCUGCCAAUUUCUGCUCUCUGUUUCAAUGAGCUGAUGUUCUGUUUAUAAAUUAAAAUUGAUGUUGUGUGUAAUAUAAUGCAGGGAUGCCAAAUCUGCCUUUUCUGUAUGCGAUGGAUUUCAUUGAGGUUUUGAAGAAGAAACAUGCAGCUGGGGGUUACAAAGAAAUGGUAAUCAAAGAGAGUUUUUACCAUAUUUGAUUCCAACAAAUUAACGAUUAAUUAAAUUGCUAACCGAGUUGGAUAUGUUCUGAAUGCAGAUUAUAUAUGUAGAAGCUUGUGAGAGUGGGAGCAUUUUUGAAGGGAUUAUGCCCACAGAUAUAAACACUUAUGUCACUACAGCAUCAAAUGCUCAAGAGAGUAGCUGGGGAACUUACUGUCCUGGGAUGGAACCGCCUCCACCUCCCGAAUUCAUCACUUGUUUAGGGGAUUUGUACAGUGUAGCUUGGAUGGAGGAUAGGUGAGUGUUUAUAAACAGAAGAAUCUGCUUCUUUUCUUAGCAUUCUUCCUCAUUAAUUAUUUUUUCCUGAUGAAUCUGCAGCGAGUCGCACAAUCUGAAGAAAGAAACAAUAAAGCAACAAUACAAGACGGUAGAAUCUUUGCUUGUGCGAUAUCGUUGGGCGUUUUGCCUAUUGUUCUUCAUUGAAGGGUUAAUAUGAGAUUUUCCUUCUUGAUUUUGUGCAGGUAAAGGCCAGGACUUCUAAUUUUAACACUUAUGCUGGUGGAUCUCAUGUGAUGGAAUAUGGGAAUGCAAGCCUCAAAGCAGAGAAGGUCUAUUUAUAUCAAGGUUUCGACCCUGCAACUGUGAACUUCCCUCCAGACAAUGGUCAUAUCGCCGCACCUAUGGAUGUUGUUAAUCAGAGAGAUGCAGAGAUGCUCUUCCUGUGGCAAAUGGUGAGUGUUGUAUCCCCUUGAAAUAUUUGCUCAUACUUGAUUUUGAUGCUAAUGGUGAUUAUGAUGAUGUUAGAACAUGCAAGUAGUUGUAAUAAUCUGUUGCUUUCCUGCAGUAUGAAAGGUCAGAAGAUGGGUCGGAAAAGAAGACGAAAAUACUCCGGCAGAUUACAGACACAAUUAGGCAUAGAAGGCACUUGGAUAGUAGCAUAGAAUUGAUUGGAACACUAUUAUUUGGACCCAAAAAGAGUUCAUCUGUGCUUCAAUCUGUCAGAAAACCUGGUUUGCCCCUGGUGGAUGACUGGAAUUGCUUAAAAUCAAUGGUAAACAUGAUAAUCAUUCCCAGUCUUUUCUUUUUCUAGUUUACUUCAUGUUCGUUACACUUAUGAUCAAUGUAAUAUUUAAAUACUUGACAUUGAAAUCUCAGGUUCGUGUGUUCGAGACGCACUGCGGAUCAUUGACCCAAUAUGGCAUGAAACACAUGCGUGCAUUUGCCAAUAUCUGCAACAGUGGGGUUUCUCAAGCCUCCAUGGAAGAAGCUUCAACCGCCGCGUGCAGUGGCCUUAACGCUGGACUAUGGCAUCCUUCAAAUCAAGGUUAUAGUGCUUAAGUUUAGGCAGAAAAUGUGCAACUUCCAUUACUUAGUUUCUAGCACAUAGUUAAAAAAGAGAAGGCUCCAAUUCACCUGCUCCGUUUGGUUGCCUUGCAGUUUGUGGUAGAGAACUAUGAUGUAGUAAUAGUUUGUAGGUACCAUGUGUGGUUUCCUGAGUUACAAUGGAUUGUUCUAUUGUUUUGGGACCCAUCUAGGUCGAGAAUUAUAUUCUAGAACCUUUGUACAUAUCUCAAUAUGAUAGUAAUGAUGGCUUUAAGGUUUGGUUGGUCCACUGUUCUUUAUUUUCGUGGCUGAAAAAUUUCAAAUUCCAGAUUUUUGUUGUAGGCCACGCGUUUUCGACAUUGAAGAAGUAAUUAUUAAAGCCAAUAAGAUUUAUUCAUCUGUAUUCCAUUCUCCUUAAAAGUAAAGUCUACCUAAUUGAGGGCUAUUGGUUACGGCGGAUCGUUUUCAGAAGAUGUGUGGAGGUCAAUCAGAGGAGAGUGAAUAAGCUUACAGAGAGAAAAGAGAUGGGUGCAGAAACGAUUCGAUUGUCGUUAUCAGCUUUUGGACGUGAUGGGACGAAACAAUUUUGAGCGACCUCUUUCUCGAAGGAUGAUGUUGUUUUGUUUUUUUAUUUGCAUAGCUGAGCGCUUCUCAUCCGUCCAUUCUGCUAAUUAAGCUUGAAAUCAUUUGUCAUUGAAAUUUAAAGCCCAAUUUUCAAAGGUAGUGGCUGUGAUGAUGCUGUUUCGUUUUUAUUUGCAUAUUAAAGCAAUUCUAAUCCGUCCAUUCUGCUAACUGAGCUUUGAAAUCAUUUAGGUUCAUUAAACGUUUUCUUAAGUGUUUACUUUGGAGUUAAAAUUUAUCAAUUUCCCUUUGUGAGUAGGAUGAUUUUUCUUGGAAAAUGAUGUGAUUGGAUUUCCAUUUUCUUGCUUCUGAAUGAUUGCAAUGCAUUUAUAUUAUCGAAAGGCUCUAUUUUCUUGAAUGGGCUCGAUCCACUGGGCUCCAUCUCCCCAAACCCGUAGUUUUGAAACCGCAUAUGAAUUGUAUUCACCCCAAAUUAAAAAAAAAUAAAUGAAUAAAAUAUUGAAACAAAAGUUGAUUAUCAAUUACGUGACAACAAUACUUCAUUGAGAUUCAGGAUUAGGCUUUGGAGAUUUUGAUCUUAGACGAUCACAAAUUAACAAUUAUUUAGUUAGGAAAAUUAUUAGAUGGACCUUAGAAUGUGAGUCUCAUUUACACUUGUUUAUAUGAAUUUAAAUAAAUAUUUCUCAUUUAAUUAAAUAUUUAUAUUUAAAUUUAUAUAUUCAUUAUACACGUAUUUUUAUAUAUACUGAUCUUAAUUUUUAUAUUAAUAAAAUUUUAUCAAAUAAAGAGAGAUAUCAUCCAAAAAAUAAAUGAUUAUGCCUAAUAGGUUCUAUAAUCAAAAUAUGAACAGUUAGAGUGGCAUGACGAUUGAAUUUAUCUAAUAGAAAUAUUCGUUUUAGUGUCUAACAAAAAUUUAUAAUUAUUCAAAAUCAAAUUCAGUUCAAAAAUAUCUAAAUAUAGAGAUCGAAGAGGUUAAACCACUUGCAAACAGUACAUAAAAAUGCAGUCAUUGAAAUGCAAAAAUUUUAAAACUUUUAUUUUCAUAAAAAAUAAAAUGUCCGAUUUGUAAUCAGUAACCAAAUCCUUCAAUGCAUUAACUAUCCGAGAAUUACUGAGUUCUCGGCAGUUCCAACACAGGACAAUCAUUGCUUUCAGCUAUCCCGACAUUUGACGGGAUGGACCGUUUUAUUAUUAUCUGUCAAAUUAACAUUCGCAGGGGAGUGUGGUUAGAGGCAUACUGUUGAGAGGAAGGAAAACUUGUAGCAUCAUCAUCCCCUCUAAAGAAUACCAUAAAUCUGCUAAAGAGGUCUGCAUAUUUUAAAAAUUGAUUGUAUUAUAUGUGAGAAACAUUUCCACCAUACAGAUAUCAUAAGUGAUUAUCAGAAUAUUUCUGGAGCUCUUAAUAGGGACAACAAUAUCUUCUUUUUCAUCGAUAGUCAAUUGACGCAAAUCGUUUUACAUGGGAAAAAAAAGGAGUUAGGUUUAAGGAAGAGAAAAAAGUGAGAGUAUCGAACUAUAGAGGAACAAUAAAAGAAAACUUACAUGGAAAGUAUAUACACAAAUCUUAAUAAACACUUUUAAAAAUAAACUGACAUUAGUAUAUCGACACUGAAAUACAAAUAAAAAUGGAUAUUAUUAACAAAAAAUAACAAGUCACAAAUUUAGCGCCAAAAAGAUUUGGCGAUAAAUUAUUUAUGAAAUAGCAGUAAAAUUCAGAAAAGAUUUUAAAUUCUGUUGCUGUUUUAAUUAGCAUAAAGUAAUAUAGCGACAACAUUGUUUCAUUGCUAAUCCAAUUGCUCAAAUAAAUUAGCAAUGAGGUAUGGAAAAUAAAAGUUUUUAAUAGUGCAAUUUUGUAUAAAUUUGAAUAUAAAUAUUCAAUCUAUGUUUUACUAAAUUCUUUUAAGAUAUUAAUAUGAAAGAGUUAAAUCUUUAUGAAUUUUGAUAAUUUAAUCUAAUUUCUUACUCUAAAUUUUCAAAGGUUUUGAUGAGUUUAACUAAUUUUAAAAUCAAAGUUAAAAAAUUAUACACACACAAGUGUUUUUUUUUUUUUUUUUUUUNNNNNNUUUUAUAGAACUCACAUACUUUAUGAAUAAUAUUUUUUAAAAAACAUCUGCUUCUUGAUAUAAAAAAAUUUAAAUGUUUAUGAUGUUUUAUAAAUUAAUCUAAAACUUUAAUUUUUGAUUAAAUAGGUGAAAUUGUCAAGUUUUGAUAAAAAAAUUUUUUAAUUCAAAUGGUUAUAUUAUUGAAGAACGCCGGGUUUCACACGUUUCAGGAGAAAAUCGAGUCUAUAAAGGCAGUAUUAAUUCAAAACCCAUCAAGUUUUCCUGACAGAUUGAUCAAAUAUCUUCGACUCUGAUCCAGACCUACGGAAUGGACCGGAUCACUCACGAGCUCAGGUUCAUCAGAAAGAAAUUCAGUCCGGUGACGUGACAUGAGAAACGAUAGCAGGCCCAGUUACUUUGCAGUCUUGCUCGCAUGCGCGCCGAAGGGAAUUAAAUAGCCAUUUGGCAUUGAAAAUAGCAUAUGACACCCCGUACGUACGAACCUGUAUGACAGAACAGGCGACACUAUAGUAGAGAGACCGUUAGGCAUCACUAACAAACAAAAGGAAAGAAAUAAAAGGAAAGAAACACCAUUCUCUCCGAUCAAGAUUACAUGAUUACCGUAAAUCCUAUCCUCUAGAUCGCAUAACAUUAAUUAUAAUUCUUUAAAUUAAUAAUCUCUCAAUUAAAAUAAGUUUUAUUCUUCAAGUUAUAUUUUCCUUAGAAAAUUUAAACCUGAGUUUUAUUUUUUAAAAAAUCUUUAAAAAUGAUCAACUAAACGUAAAAUUUUCAAGCAUCCCUUCUAAAGUUGUUAUCUAUUUUUUUGGGUUGACGCAUAUAUUUUACAAUACUAUAUCCUUUAAAUUAAAAAUAAAAUUAUCAAAAUAUUUGAAAUUUUAAUUUAUCAUUUUAAGAACUAAACUUUUGAAUUAAAUUGCACAAUAAAUAUUUAUUUUUUAAAAGUUAAUUUAUUAAAUAUAAUAUAUAAAUUCUACCAAAAAAUAAUAAAAAAUAUACUUUUUUUCUUAAUUUUAAUUUUAAUUUUAAAUUUGAAUAAAAUUAUUAAAAUAUCUUAAAAUUUAGUCUAUAAUAUUAAAAAUUAAAUAUUUAAAUUAAAUUACCAAAACUCACAAAACCUUAGAUUUUUUAUGCCAAUAUCCUAAUUUUUUUUAAAGGUAUGUUUAUUAAGCUUAAUUUCGUAUAACUUAUAUGAAACGCUUUUUAUAAUUUUUUUUCUUAAAAUAAAAUUAUAUUAUUGAAAUGAUGAUUGUAUCAACUGUCAAAAAGUUCUUUUUUCCACUUUUUCUUUCAUAAAAUUAAACGGUAUUAUUUUUUUUAACAUUAUUAUUGUCUAAUAUUAUUUAAUGCUUUAUCACCCCUCAUUAUUAGUUGACAAGUGUACUUUAAUCAGUUAUUAAUAUUUUUUUUAUAAAAAUAAACAUAUUCAAUUAUUUCCUUAAUAUCAUGUAAAACAUUAAAAGCAUUUGAAAUGGGAUAUAAUGAGUAAAUAUUAAGCUAUUUUUAUAUAAUUUUCUUUUUUUCUUAUAACAAAAGGAAUCCAAUUGGAAAAAAUUUUAAGAACUUUAUCUAUCAAUAAUUUUGUAAGCUAAUACUCAAAUUUCUAAAUUCUUCUAAAAGAAAAAAGCAAAUCUUGAAUUCUAACCAAUUGAAUAAUGCCUCGUUAGCACAGAAUGAUGGAAUUAUAUUUUCGUUGAUGAAUGGCUAAACCGCAAGCUGACAUGCGAUUACUUCUGCGCUUCAAUUUGGUUACUUGCAAUUACUUUUUUUGUGUGAAAGCAUACUUGCAAUUACUAUUAUCAGGCGAGCAAUUGCAAAAACAAGUUUGAUUAAAUUGAAUUAAUUUUAAAAUUUUAAUUUGGUUCGAUUUUUAAUUUUAAAAAUUUUAAUUAUUUUAAUUCUGUUUAAUUUUGAUAAAAAAAUAUUUAAAAAAAUCAAACUAAAUUUAUUAGUGAUAAUAAUAUAUUAUUUUUAAUAAUAAAGAAAGAUUAAAUCAUAUUAAAGUUAAAAUAUUCUAAUUAAAUUUUAAAAUAUUAAAAAUAAAGUAUAAAAAAUAAAAAAUUUAUUAAAAUUUUAAAUCGAAUUGAAUUGAAUCAAAUCAAAUCAUAUUGAUUCGAUUCUAUUCAAUUUUUAAUCAAAAUUAAUUCGGUUCGAUUUUUAUAAAUAGUUUAAUGAUUCGAUUUUAUUCAAUUUUUAAUCAAAAUCAAUUCGGUUUGAUUUUUAAACUAAACCGAAUCAAGCAAAUGUUACAUUUAAAAAUUAUAAAAUUAUAUUAUGUGUUGUUUACAUGAAUUUUCAGAUCAGAAUUUGAGAUUUUUUUUUAAAUGGAAAAAUUUAAUAGUUUUAACGAAAAAGUAUAAUUUAGCUAAUGAUAAUUAAAAAACUUUGAUAUUUUAUAUAAUAUAAUAUCUGUAAUAUUAAUUAUAUAUAUUAUUAUUAUAAUUUUAAUUAUUAAUGGAAGAAUUUUAUGUUAUAAAAUAUAAAUAUGUAUUGAUGGAGUGGUUCAUAAAUAAAAAUUAAAUAGCUAAUAUUGAUAAAAAUAAAUAAAAAAACUUCAUAGUAAUUUUCUUAUGAGAUUAAUGCCUAGAAUUGGCGAGCAUCGAACUGAUUUUCAGAAACAAAGUUGAAAAGAAAAAGGAAACUUGUACUCUUAUAAGUAUUGAUUAUAAGUUAUAUAAAAAAAGAAAGUAAAAAAAAAAAAUUGAAAUUUGUCGCCACAUCAAUACUUGCGUUGCUUCCAGGUAGCGUUAUGGCAGUUACCCCAUGAUGCAAUCCUCAUCUUCACCUUCUCAAACUCCGAAUACCCACACGGUAUCUUUAUUCCACCCGAAUGAUUGUACCCGUAUACCCGCUCCGUAUCCUUCAACAGCUCUCCAAACAACGGGUGAUUUAUGUAUAUUACAGGCACCACUUCCCUCCGCGUGUCACCAUUUGAUUCUCCCACGUACACCACCAAGUGUCCCUUGGGCACCUCCACCGGUUUCGCCUCACCCAGUCUGAUAUAUCCCCGAUUUGAUCUCUGAGAAGUCCUCCGUCGUAAGUUACGAGCUAAGGCCAAGAUUCUGGAGAUGGGAUUGAGGGAGCCACCAGCUAUUGGACGGGCGGUGGUGGGUUUUCUCCUCCUGGAUCGGAUUAUGCAUUUGAAGACUCUUACAAGCCUGCCGCCGAGCCUGAAACCUCUGAGCUUUUUCAUGGCAGAAGCGAGAUUUUUUGGGGGACAACAGAGCAGAGCACUGACUCUUUGUAAUUAAGCAGUUGUUUUGUUUGGAGGGUCAAAGCUGAGUCUUCAUGGUAUAUAUACACGUGUGGUUGAUAUUGUGCAGAGAGCAAAGACAAGAGGAAGAUGAGACAAUUACCAGUUCUUUUCUUCCUUUAUUAACUCUGCUUUUUUGUCCUAAAUUUUUCUCGUUUGAUGAGAAUAAAAACAAAAUACGAAGAACAGAGAUGAGAUGAGAGACAGCCAGGUAAUUAAAUGGGUUACACAAAAGGUCAGGAGUCAGCUAAAUGAACGCUCUCAUGUUUCUUGGCCUUACAAUGUCCCAGGAAGACAGAUCAACUUGGAUUUAUUGAAUUCAAAAUUUUUUUUUUAAAAAAAAUUGUAGUUAUCAACUUAAUUAAUUAAUUAAUUAAUGACAAUUAAAGAAAUAAUUUAAUUUAGAACCUGUCUUAAUCUUGAACAUAAGAGCUUUGAGCUGUACUUGGUACGUGUUGUACUUGUCGAAUGACUGGCAGUUGACGAAAUAUGUGGGCAUUUACUUAAAUCAUAACCAUUGAUUCAAUUUUUUAGACCAGUCUAACGUGGAAUAUAUCAAAAUAUCAUUACCAAAUUUAUAUAUCAUUGAAAAAAGCUGCUCAUCAAAAUCAAUCCUUCGUUGAAAAAGGAAAUUUCAGCACUUAUUUAUUAUGUAUUCUAUUUUAGCUUUGAAGAAAUUUAAUUACUUGUAAGUCUUUUAAGUAAGAGAAAGCAAACUUUGAGUUUGAGCUAAAAGAAAAUGUCAAGAUAAGAUAAUACUUUUCCAUGCCGUCCAAAUUAUUUUUCCUUUUAUUUUAUUUCUGUACGAAAUUGAUUAAAGCUUAUUUGAAUAGAUUUAUAUAAUUGAUUUUGUAAAAUUGACUCAAUUAAAAGCCAAUCAUAUCAAUUAAAAUGUUUUACUUGCAAUUUGAAUAAUCUUUCUUUUAUAAUAUACUUUUUUUUUAAGAUAAAAAAAAUAUUUAAUCAAUAUUAAGCCAUAUAUAAAUGUUGAUAUGACAUACUUUAAAAAUUUUUAAUAUAGAAUUAGAAGAUAUUUUAUUUACGUCUGAAAUCAAAUACUAAAAGAAUAAAUAUAUUUUAAUUUAUUGGUGUUAAAGUCGAUUUUAAAAUUAAGAUCUCAAAUUCGAUUAAUAAUCGAAUGAAAAUUAUUAAAAGAAAAGUGUUUUGUUGUUCAUGAUUUUGAAAUACACACGUAAGUGGAAGGGUAAGUAUAUAGUGUUGAUGCUGAAAUGAGAAAAAGGAGGAUAUUUAAUUGGAAAAGCAAGAUAAUGCGAUGCUUUUCGUGUGCAAAGGCAAAAGGAAGAAAACACUUGAGCAUGAACCAAACGGAAAUUAGUUGAAGCAAUGGGCAAUGUAACUCAACACUUAGUGCUAAAGGAAAGAUGGGUUUUGCAAAUUGCAAGCACCUCCUCCGUUAUGUCCCACACGUUCCUACAAUCUAGCCAACCAAAAAAAUUUUAAGAAAGAUUUAUUAUUUAAUGAUAAAUUUAAGACCUAAAUAAUAAAACAUUAUAAAUAAAAAUUAAUUGAAUAAUAUUACUAUCAUUUUCUAGGUUAAUUAACAUUUAAAAAACUGAAAUUAUUUACAAGAUUAAUCAGAUUAUACAAAAAAAAAAAAAUCUUAAAACCCAAUAAUGUAAGAUUAGGAAAAAAAACAACAGGCCAAAAAAAAAAAGUUCAAAAACAUGCAACAGUAAUUAAUUAAUCAUUAGGUCUGGAUGUUGAUCGAAGCAUAAAAUUAAAAAGUAGAAGAAGAAGACACGGAAUGUAAACAGAGGUCUGGAAAUGGCCAGAUUUGCUUAGACAAGCAAACAACAGGCUGCCGUUUUGUUCCUAUUCCGCUGGUUCAAGGACCGUAAUCUCCGCCGCAUAUUAAAACGGUACGGUUUUGUAAGGAAAUAUAUAUAUAUAUAUUAAUGAUGAUGAGUGUGAUUACGGAACCUCCCAGGUAACAUCAUGUACAUGCAGUACUGUCUGGGUUAGGUGGAACUUAAUUUAUGUAUUUUUUUUAAUUUAAUUUAAUUUUUUUAAAUUAUGAAAUGAUUUUUUUUUUUUGAAAAAAAAAGGUGUUGUAAUAAAACAAGAAUAAAGAAAACUCCAAACUUUGUCAGUUAGGUUGAGGUUGGAGCAAGAAAUCAGUUGGGAUUAAGUACCGGAAAUAAAGUAAUGCCAAGGCCCCCAGGAUCAAUCUACUCAAUGAUCAUUAAGGCCCAGCGAAAUUUCUUCCGAGGCUUUUUUAGAAUAGACGUUGAGUUGUAGCAGCCCAAAAUUUAAAGGCUGUAUCUGGGUGAAGCGAGUAAUUUCAUGGAAAUAUGAACACAAUGCAGGGUACAUAGCCUUAUAUAAGGACUAAGGAUUGAUGACCUUAUCUUGAGAAAGCCCCACAGCUAUCCCUGCAAUGAUUGCUUGUUUAUCAACUGUAACUGCUUUGUGGGACAAGAGGAGACUUACAUAAUAUCCCUAGAGAAAGCUCUCUUUCUCUUUCUGUCAUACAAGCACCAAAGUUCACAUUGGCCUUGCUAAAGGGUUAGUGCCACUAAGCAUCCAGCCACAAGUGCCCCCUCAAGGGUUUUGAUGAAAAGCAACAGACAUGGGAACCUGGCCUUUUCUUUUUUUUUUUGGCCUUUUGAAUUACAUGGUAAUCAAAUAGAAAUUGGCAUGAAAAUUCCAUGGUGGCUCUUUAUGUGCAUUUGUUUCUGUGCAGUUGACCUUUCUACUCAAUGGUCAACCCCUCCAUUAUCAUUUAAAUCAAGGACAUAAUUCUCUUAUGUUUCUUAUUUAUUCUUAUCAGUAAAGGGGUUUAGGGUUACUGUUCCUUUUGGUGAUAGUUGAAUAUGAAACUAAUUAAUUAUAGCUUAUACUUCAUGUUUUGAGCUAUACAAUUAAAUUUAUUUUAAUGGAGGGGUUGAUGAAGAUUUUUGUAGUUUCACCAAAAAGUCCCACAGUUCAUGAACUUCAAAGAGACAUACAAAAAUGAUGUAAAAUUCAUUAGAGAUAUUUUUAGACAACUUUCCUAUACUUAAGUUAGAUUUAAAAUUUUUAUGGUGGAAAUGUAGCUUUAAAAAAUUUACUGAGAGGAAGAAGAAAAAGAGAAGCUGUUUGGAAAAAAUAAAGACGUUGGGCUUUAGGACACAAAAAUCUACCCCUUACUUUUUUAUUCCUUCUAUAAAAGUGCCAGAAAAUGUUUUUUAGUGUAUUUUUUAAUAAAUUUACUAUUCAAUUUAAACUAUUUUAUAUGUUAAAUUUUAUCCAAUAUCAGCUGAGAGAAGAAAUAUUAUAAACAUUUGUAUAUAGUUAGUCGUAAUCUAUUAAAUAAUUUGAUCUAACUAUUUUAAAUCAAGUGAAAAAUAAAAAAUAAAAAUAAAAAUAAUUUAAGUUAAUUUUAAUUGAAUAAAUAAUAUUUGAAAUUCUAAUCCAGACUUAAUAAUUAUAUUCAUUCAGUGGGUUGCGACAUUAAUAGCCUCUCAAAAUUGAGUGGAAAAAGUGAAAUCUUGUCCUAUAACGACUGAAAAAAAAUUGUAAGAUUUAAAAGUGAAUUUAGAAAUUAUUUAAAUUAAUUUUAAUGUAUGGGAACUAAAAUUUUAGAGUGAAUUACUCUCCGUAUGAUUUACGAUAAUAUUUAACAUUUUCAAAAAAAAAUUUAUAGUUUCUACAAAUUGGAGAUGAAAGUGUAAAAGGGUAGGCAUAUAUAUGAGAAGUUCACACUAAAAAUAUAUAAGCACCUAAAAUUAUGCAAUAUUAUAAAUUGUAUAUUUCAUAACGGCUGCAAUUCUAUAUAAUCUGAAUUAAAAUAAUGAAACGGUAAUAAUAACAUUUGUCGAGGACAGUUUAAAAUUUAUAUCAUGUUUCAAUUUAUAUAUAUUAAUGGCAAAAGAGCUUAAUCAUUUCGAAUUUGACUGAGAUUCAAUUUUACAAUUUUAAAUGCUUCCAAGAACUUUAAAAAAAUUUUGGAGGAACAACCCUAGCAACUAGGCAUGGUCACGAUCCCAAUUUAAAAUUCAAGAAAUUCAGAAUGGAAAUGCAGAAUUCUUUAUUAUUAUUUUAUUUAAUUUCUAUUAUAAUUUCAAUUAAAUCUAAUCAUUAAAAUGUAACAUUGACUUGAUUUAAAAAGGGCUAUUUAUUAAAUUGUAAAUAAUUUUUUACAUAAUUCAAAAAGGAGACAAAUAAUCGAUUUUGAUUUGACUUUAUCCUCUCUUUUCUUUUGUGAUUCAUAAGAAAAGAAUUUGAAUUCAAUUGCUUUAAUUUUAAAGAAAAAUUAAUUUUAAAUCUCAGUUUUGAAGAGGAAAUGUACACUAUUUUUAUUAUAAAAUUGGUUUGAGAAUGAUUUUAAGUAAUUUAAGUUUAAUUGAUUUUAGUGCAAUUGCAAAUUGAAAUUAGAUAAUUAAGUCGAAAUUGGAAGUUCAGGAAAUGAUGGGGAUGUAAUAGAGGUUGAAGCAUCACCUACUCCAACUCCACCACACACCAACCACAACAGGACAAGAAACAAAGAUUUUCUCAUGUGAGAUUUCAUAUGUUCUGAAAGAGGUGGUGUCUUCCGUGAUGAGUCUCAUCUGUCUUGUUCUUUUUUGUGAUAAGAAAUUGAUGGAGUCGCGUACUUAAUUGUUUAGGUCAUAUGUAAUGCGCGUGUCCUGGAACCCUCCAGUGUUUGUCUUUGACUCUUUGUUUUCCCUUUACAUGUGCCACCAUAUAAGAUUUAAAAGUUUUAGCGUGCCUGCCAAAGUGUGGGGUUUUGUCUCGACAUGCCUUCGACUUUAUUCUUUUGUUGUAGUUCUUGUGCUUAUUGGGGGACUUCUCUUAGAUGUGUUGUUUUUUUCUUAUUUUUCUUUGGCUGUUGUAUUGGUUUUUGCAUGUAGGCGGUCUCCUUGGUGCACUCUCUCAGACGGUUAAUUGUUAAUCUGCAUGCAUUUUCACUCCUUUGUCUGUGUGCUUCAGUGGGUGACAAAUGGGUUUCCAGCCAUUUAAAUGGUUUAUCCUUUCUUAUGAUACCGAGUUCCUCCAUGAUCCAUUGAUUCCUAAAACUCUAUACAUGGCUGGCGAGUUCUUUCGGUACCCUCUUCUAUAGCUUAGACGAAGUUUUUUGGCUAUGCUUCUCUCGGUUUGUCUAGAGAGUGGAUCUUUCUCUCUAGCUCCAAAUGGUUUAUAAAUAUUUCUUUUGUUUUGUUUUCUGUAGCGAUUUUCUGAAGAAAUUUUAAGAUUUGCACUUUCUCUUUUUCUUGGACUUUCUUGGCAGAUUAGGUGAUAUUUGAUUGCAUUUUUUGUUUGCAUGUAGGUUAAAGCUUUUUAGAUCCCAUACUUGGAGACUUUUAUCUUGUUCGGUGAAGGGCAAUAAGGAGGUGAUUUACGGAACAAUACUUGGAUGGUGCAAUAGGGACGUCAAAGAGUGUGCUUCCUCCAUCUUCAUUGGUCCCUUUUGAUCUAUAAAACCCCACUUGACUCGGCUGGUAGCUAUCAUUUUAUAUUUUUCGAGAUGGUUCUAGUGGCGCUUCUUCAAUUUUGGCAUGGAUCCUCUUAUGUGGAAGCAACUUGCUUCUAGUUUUCUCUUAGCCUCUCUUCUUAUGCUUCAGUAAAUGUUUUAAUGUCUAGAAAUAGCGAUCUUGCCAUUUUAUGCAACCUAAAUGCUGGUAACUGUUUAUGCGGCCUAAAUGCUUAUAACUGGAGCUUUACAAGAAGGAUCGAUGUUACUCUUUCUCAUUGAAUCCUAGAUUGGAUCAAGUGGGAUCAAGUGUCAAUGGGUCUUUGGGACUUUAGGCUUUAGUUAAGUCUUUUUCUUGUCCCAUGGAUUUUACGACUUGUAUCUUUGUAUGAUAUUUAUUGCAUGUUGUUUACAGAUUUUAGCAUCGAUCUAACUAAUUUUUUAAGGAAUGAUAUAUGCCCUAUUUAUUUAAAAAAAAAAAAAACAGCGAGUAGAGCAUCAUUUCUAUGAAUAAUCGUAUUAUAUAUUAAUCUAUAAUUAUUUCGAUUAUCAAAACUUUUUUGAGAUAUGAUAAAUAAAAGUAAAUUGAUUGCAAAUUUAAUUAAAGCAAAGUGGUUUAUAAAUAAAUAAAUUUGAUGAUCUGAAAUCCAGAAAAUAGGAUUUUACAAGAGUUUUCGCUAAUUUAGAAAAAGUUUAGUCUGAAAAGAGAGUGACCCUCCCCUUUUAUUCUUUUCCUUCCUCUGUCAAUGAUGUGUACCAGCCUUAUUUUCAUUGGGCCACCUGUCUCUAUCAUACUGAUACGGUCGUACGAGAAUAUCAAAUAUCUGUUGCAUGCGUAACGGCCAUUUAAUUCUCUCCGAGCAGGCAUGCGGACGGACCCACCCGGGGGAUGGGCUGGACACCUUCCUCCGGACUGGGCAGAAAGAGGAGUUCAAGACUGAGUCCAGAAAAAAACUGGUCGUUGGGCUGAGAAGGUUGGGCCAAUCUAUCUGAGAAAUCGGGGUGGAGUCCGGUCUUAAGGCUGAGCGGACCGGACUUGGUUCAGGUGGGUGGCUUGAGGGUUUUCAGGUAAUGGACUGUCGCCAUGAACUUUGCCCCAAACUGGGGUGGGUGAAUCCAACGGUCAUCAAAAUUAAUAAAAGAUGAUUCUAGAUUUAGGGUUUUCACUCUUUAUUAGGAUUCAAUUUAAUCAAUCUAAUAAAUAGAUAUUUAUGAUUUUAAACGAAAUUAAUUUUAAACUCACUUAGAUUUUUUUUCUCUCAAGAAUCAAACAAAUAUUUUAAGUUAACCAAAUCAUACUAAUAUGACUUGUACCUUCAAUAAAACCUACUAAUUAAGUUUUUUUAAUUAAUUAUAAAAUUUUAAAAUAAGAAAAGAGUUUUCGUGAUCAAAUAAUAAUAUUCACUAUUUUAAAAUGUAGAAGGCAACCAAUGGGAACUCAGCUAGAUGAUCAAGUGAGUGCACACAAAUUACAAAAUUAGAAAUGGGAGAAACCUUUUCCAUGGGAAAGGCAAGGAGAUUAGAGAUUGGAGAAUGAAGAAGGGAAAAGAGAAUGAAGCCAUUUUGGGAGGGUUGGCCAUCCCUAGUUGAAUGUGGGGAACCAAAACAAUAAUGCCUCUAUUUCAGCAAUCAUUAUAAGAGGUCCCCCCACCAUUUCAGCUCACCAAUUCUUCUAACUUUACCCCAAAACACAUAAACAAUUGUGUUCAUUAGCGUCACAUGACUUUGCAAAUUUUCUAUUUUUGUAAAUUUUCACUUUACUUUCUCAUAUUUUUAUCUUCUUUUACCAUCCAAUUAUAAGUCACAAUUGAUGAUAUAUAUAGAAAUCGGGAUUAUAUGCCAUGUUUUAUUAUUUUAUAUUAUUAGAAAAAAAUUUUAAAAAUUUAGAGAUACUAUAUAAAAGAUUUAAUUCAUAAUUAUAUAUUGUGAAUUAGGUUAAUAAUAUAUAUAAAUUUUGUUCGCUAACGAGACUAAACUAAUACCCUCGAUUUUUUUUUUAACUUUUUAGAAAAUAAAUAAAAGUAAUAUAUAUCCACGUGGCAUUACACGAAAGCAUCGGUUUAUCUGGAAAAGUGCAAAGAGUGGGUCCUACUAUAAGAUGGGAAGUGGGGCCCAGAUGAGAUAACUGAUGGGGACCACAAACACAACCNNNNNNNNNNNNNNNNNNNNNNNNNNNNNNNNNNNNNNNNNNNNNNNNNNNNNNNNNNNNNNNNNNNNNNNNNNNNNNNNNNNNNNNNNNNNNNNNNNNNNNNNNNNNNNNNNNNNNNNNNNNNNNNNNNNNNNNNNNNNNNNNNNNNNNNNNNNNNNNNNNNNNNNNNNNNNNNNNNNNNNNNNNNNNNNNNNNNNNNNNNNNNNNNNNNNNNNNNNNNNNNNNNNNNNNNNNNNNNNNNNNNNNNNNNNNNNNNNNNNNNNNNNNNNNCGUAUAUUACUUUUAUUUUCCUGAAUGUUUAAUGGAAUUUGGAGAAGUGUCCUUAUCGAGAUAUGAUAGAGUCGGUUAGUGGGCCCGAAAAUAGAAGCCCUGAGAAACCAAAUUAAAAAAAAAAACAAAGCAAAAUAAAAAUAUAAAAUUACAGACCAGCCAACCAGAGGCCGCGUGCCAUUGCUGGUAAGGGCUUGGAUAAUAUAUUAAUUAUCAUGAAGCCCACCAAACCUUAAAAACUCUUUUUAUUGAAGUAUUAUAUUAAUAAAAUUUUUAAUUCAAAAAUAUUAUUUUUUUAUUAAUUUUAAAUUUGCACUUUUGGGACCAGAUUAGUCAAAUUAUUUUCAAGUACGAUUAUUUUAAUGUCCCCGGUAAGGAAACGAACACAUUAUUAUUAUUAUUAUUAUUAUUAUUAUUAUUAUUAUUAUUAUUAUUAUUAUUAUUAUUAUAUAUAUUUAAAUCAAAAUUAUGAAAUUAAUAAUAAAUAAGCAAUGUCAGUAAAUUUGGUCGAUAAUUAAAAAAAAAAAAUCAAAUUUUUGAAGGAGAAAUAAUUCUGAAAGUAAUUAACAAUGUGAUAUAUUCUGAUUGAAAAAAUCUUUCAUUGAAUAAAACAAUGGAAGAUCAUUCAGAAUUGUUUGAUGCCAUUUUUUUUCCUCCAACUCAAGAAGCCAAUAAAAGAAGCAAACUCGAAACCCUAAAGCUCAAGAGCAAAAGAAUAACUAAAAUAUUCUAUGAUAAUCAAAGACUUUUCAAUAAGAAAAAAGAAAAUAAUUAACAAUUUUGCAUGAUUCAUGUAAUAAGAAAAGAAGAAUUGAAAUGAAAUUUUAUAAAAUUAAGCAAGAGUUAACUUUUUUUAAAAUGAAAAUAUUUUAAAUUAAAAAUACAUAAUUUUUUUUAUUUAAAAUAAAAGAAUUACUAAAAAAAUUACUUAAAUUGAAUUCUUAUAAAAUUACUACCAUAAAUUUAAAUAUUGAAAGAUACGAUUUAAGAAUCAGGUAAAUAUUAAAUAAAUCCAAGUGAAGUAAAACUAUUUGAUGGACCAUUUAAACUAAAAUUGUUGAAAAUUUAUAUUAGUAUUUAACAAAAAUUGUUAAGAACCUAAAUUAAUAUUUAAAUUCUAUUAAAUUAAAAUUUUAUUAGAAUUUAAAACAACAUAAAUAAAUAAUUAAAAUAAAAAAUUAUAUUUAAAAAUAACAAAAAAUUAAUAUUCUUAGUGACACUAGGAAACUCUUUAAUUGGAUUUUAUGAAAAUUUUAAGUUAUUUUAGUGAUUUUAUAAAAUAAUUAAUCGUCUAUUGCCUUGAUAAAAUGAUAUUAGAGUUAUUUUAUAUUCUAAUUUCAAUAUAAAUAUAAUUUAAAUUUUUAAAAAACUUAAAAUUUAAUAAUUAAAAAUUAAAGACUAAAUUGGUAUAAAACUCUAUUGACGUGGGAAUUUUCUAUUUUGGCUUAAUAAUUUUUGUAAUUAAAUUAAAAUUACACUUAUUAUAUUUUAAUUGAUAAUUAUGUUUAUUAUAUUUAUUUAGAGUAAACAUAUAUUAUUAAUUAUAUUAUUUUUUAAAAUUUUUAAUAAUAUAAUAAUAAUAUAUAAUGAAAAACUACACAAAUAUAGUUCUCAGAUUUUAUCAUAACUUUUACAUUUUUAAUUUAUAUAAAUUUCGAGAAGAAUUAUUCUUAAUAUAUUGAAAAAUCAUUCAAAGUAUUAGGAAACAUAACCGUUUGUUAAUUAACCUAUGGACUUCAAAAGUAUGAAAUAGUAUAAAUUUAAAUAAUAAUGUUAAAUAAAAAAAUAGAUAAAUUAUAUUUUAAUUUCUAAAUUUUAAUAUAAUUAACAUAUUAAUAUUCUAUUUUUCAAAUCCAACACUUAAAUUCUUAUAUAAUCAAUUAGUCCAAAUUAAAAGUUUAUUUAUUUAUAACUCCGUUACUCAACAAAUCAAAAGGAGAAUAAAUAUUUUAAAUAUUUAAAAUAUUUUCAUGAAUGCUUAAAUCCUUUUUAAUAUAGAUGAAUAAUUUUAUAUUGUGUAAACUACACUUUGCUCCUUAAAUUUUAGCAUAAUUGAUGGAUCGAUCCUUACAUUUUUAAAACUAAAUCUUUAAAUUUCUCUAUAUUUAAUCUGUCUAAAAUUAUAAUUUUUCCAUCUAUUAUAAAUAUUAGUUCAAAACUAGUAAAUGUUCAAAUUUUUUUUGAAAAUAUAAUUUUUUCGUAAAAUAUUCAUUAUAAAAAUUUAUAAUCUACGUAAAGAUUAUUUGGUACCCCUUAAAAAUAGCUGAAAUUAUAAGUAUUUUUUGAAAGUUUUAAAGUUAUAAGUAUUGAAGUAUUUUAAUAAAUAGAAAUUGAAGAAUAAAAAGUGUAAAAAAAAGAGUUAAAUAAUAUAUUAUAGAUAAAAGUUAAUGGAGUACUUAAGUAAAAAAAUAAAAAAUCAAAAUAUUUAAAUUAUAAUAGAUAAGAACGAACGGAUUAUAAAGAGAUUUAAAUAUAUAUUUUUAAAAAUAUAAAAAUUGAUCUAUUAAUUAUGCUAAAAUUGAAGGAUCCAAUUAUAAUUUAUUCAUUUAAAAAGAUAAUAAAAAAAUUUUCACAUUUUUAACGACAAAGAUAGAUGAAGGGUCUCUAAUUUGAACAAGAGAAAUUUAAGUAUUUUAAAAUGUAGGAAUAGAUAUAUUAUUUAUGUUAAAAUUUUUAAAAAUUAAAGUAUAACUUAUUCUAAAAAUAUUGAAAAUAAAUAUCCUGCAAGCUUUUUUUUAAAAAAUAAUUAACUUUAAUUAAGGACCGAAUUCAAACGUCUCAGCCUGAAGAUUAUUUCAUUACCGAUGGUAAUAUACAUGCAAGGUUUAAUCCCAAAAGAAGCAGAGUGAAAAAUAAAGAAGAAUGAAAGAAGGCUACUAUGUCAUGUCCCUCCAACACACAACAUAGAGAAAGGUAUUGUAAAUUGAUAUAUAUACACAAUGAUCAUCAUUAGUCUGAUCGUGUACACCACGCGGAUUCAAGUGGACAACAUUUCACAAAGUCUAAGCUUGCUGAUUUACGACACAAAACACACAUAGGGAAGGUUGUGUUGUGCCCCUUGCUUAGCUAAGUUUACCACCAAAAAUUAUACAAACAUACUGGAAUUACCAUGUUGACAUGUACUAAUUAUUAUGUGUACUUUUCUUUUUCUUUAUUUAUUAUUUUUCUUCUUCUUCUAAUACACACAACUUUGUUCUCUAUAAACUUCUCUUUCAAUAACUGUUGCUCACCGUGUGAUCUUCGCUUCUCCUCCUCCUCCUCCAUCCCUCUCACUCAACUCAAUGCUUGAUCUUUCCUUUUAGUCUCUUUCAGUUGCUGGUGGAGGUUGCCCCUCUCUUUCUCUUUCUCUCUGUGUGUGUAUGGAACUCUUUGUUUCUCUCUAAAAGCAUUUAGCUUGAGCCAUUAUCCGCCACCCUUUUUACGCGCAAAGCUUUUCCAGUAAUCAAGCUUCCAUUUAAGAGAUAAAACAGAGAGAGAUAGACAGACACUCACAGAAUGAAUACUCUCUCUGAUAGAGAGAGAGAAAGAAACAUAUAUUAUUAGGGCAUGUGUGUGUCUCUACUCAUUUCCAUUUUCCUUGCUUCUUAUUUAACCCUACCUUCUCUCUCUUUCCCCCACUCAACCUUUCUUUUUCUUCUCUCUCUCUCUCUCUCUUUAAUUCCUUCCCUUUUCCCUUCUUCGGGAUCUGAUCUCUCUCUCCUGUUCUCCCCUACAAAGUAACACUUGCAUCCACUGGGAUUACAAACACUUCCUUCACUUCAUUUCCCGAGAAACACUUUCUUGUUUCCUUGUUUGUUUCUGUUCACUUUCUUUCUAUAUUUCUGUGUUCUUUUGUCUGGUCCAGUGUUAAAAGGUGAAAGAGAGUCAGUGAUAAAAGCUCUACCCUAAAUCGUCUUACUUCUAAAACGACUGGCGGGUCCAUUAUUCCGUCAACCAGGGUGAACCAGAUCUAACCAGGAGCUUCGCUCGGCUCGGGUCUAUUCUCGAAGAUUAUCAAGGUUGGGUACUAUAUCAUCAAUCUUUACUUUUUCUUAUUCUUCUUCUUCUUCUCCUUCUUCUGAUAUGAUUUCUAAUUCUUGUUUUUUCUUCUAUCUCUUGAGUGCAAAUUCUUUUGGAUUCAAACGCUUUUAUUUGAUGAUUUUUCUCUCUUUUUUCAGUGAUAAGCACUGAUGCCUUAAUUUCAAGCAAACAGAAGAUGCAAUUAAUAAAACUUCAUAUCUUACUGAUCAGUUUUUAUGAGAUAGGAGUUUAAUCUGACUUCUGCUGCUCCCUUUAUUUUGGUAUCAUUUACUCCACUGAUCAUUUUCAUAGCAUGUAUUGAAAUGUUCAGUAUACAAGACUAAUCUUUGAUCUGUUAAUGGUUACAGUAGGUUUCUACGUUCCUUCUUCGUUUUGAGAUGCUUGUAUUGCUCAGAUCCUACUUUACAAAGUCAUGGUCAUGAGCUUCAUAGCAUAUUCUGCUACAACUUAUAUUAUAGGAGAAAUUACAAAUCACUUGAAAAUUCUUGCAUUGUUCAAUUUUGGAAUUUCCUCCACCUUGGUAUGAAAAAUGUCUGCUAGUUAUAAUAAAGAUCUGUAUGUAUCGAAGAACACUGAAUACCCAUGUUAAGACAUGUAUAAUUGCAAGAUAUCAUUUUGCACAUCAUAAUUUUUUACCAUAAUUUUGUCAUUUCAUCAUAUAAUUCCCCCUACUACAUGUUUCACAAAGUAAAGCUAUUGAAUUUUGAUUCACUUUUCUCAGUGGAGAACGCACUUUUUCUAUAUGUACUAAAAUUUUCUUUCAUGUUAUAUAUAUAUAUAUAUAUAUAUUUGAAAUAAAAUGAAAUUUAAGUUCAUUAUAUUUCUGAUCGACAUGUUAAGUCUCAUGAAAGGUUUAGUGAAUACUUGCUAGUUCAAGUUUAAGGCAUUAUAUCUCAAUGUGCUUUAUUUUACUUAUAGAAAAAUCCAAGUAUGAAUUUUUCUUGAUAUGUCAGAAACUGAAUUGCAUUAUAUAAUUAACUUAGAGCUUUUAAAAGAGAAGAAGAAAGUUUCCUAUUGCAUAUAUACUUUUCCUGAAUGUCUAUAAAUGUCUUGUAUUAGGUCUUAGCUUUUAAUGUUUGACAUGCGCAGUAGAUCUUUGAUUCAUGCAGGAAAUAAAGGAAUAGCCAUUGUCAAGAAACCUUUCAAUUUAAAUGUUCAAGUUUGUAAAUGAGGAUUUGCGAAGUUUUCAUUGACAUUUUAAUGAAAAUUUUAGCUUAUAACAAAUAUCUUUGUCUUAACCCUAGAGUUUUCAAAUGGAGUCUCAAGAAUAAUUUUACAUCCCUAGAAACCCUAUUUGUCUUAAUACUUCGAUGAUUGAGUUUAACAAGAAGUAUGUUUUAAUAUUCUUUGGUACAUUUAAUUUAUUUUGGACUACAUUGUUUUCUUUCCCAAGCAUUAAUGAGCAACUCCAAUAUGUUAAAUUAUAACACGAAACCUUAGUGAAAGACCAUGUUCUCGUUUUCGGGAGGUUACUACGUACGUACAUUCGUAGUUUAUUUUUUUCUUCAUAAUAAGCAUUAUGUGCUGUUCUUCCUUUGUGUAAACUGAGACAAAUCUUUUCUUUGUUUACUCUUGUAUAUAUUAAAAUAAGCAACAGGAACUCGAACAUAUAGUUGCUGUCUGUAUUGUUAAUUAGCUGUUAAAUUUCAUAUCGAUUUGGAAUAUGGAUAAUGUAUCCUUAUAAGAGUAUUAAGCAUUCUCCUUCUUGAAUUAGCUUUUAGAGUAAGUUAGCCAUAACCGAAAUUUAAACUGUAUCGGAGCCUCUCACCGAUAUUGGAUCUUCUAUAAAUAUGUUAUAGUGUUGGUAUUCCCACAAAAUAAAAUUGCUGAAUUUGUUUGCCUCUACACCGUAAGAAUUAGCUUGCUGAUGACUUGAUAGCUUGCUUUUUAUAUACUCCCUCCAUUCCUUAAUAAGUAUCCUUUACAAUUUUUUUUUUUUCAAUUUAAGUGUUCAUUUAUGAAAUUAAGAUAUUUUUGUAAAUAUAUUCAAAUAUUAUCCUUAUUAAUAUUAAUCAUGCAAUUAAUAAAUUAUAUGGUUUUAAACAUUUUAUAAAGAUUUUAGUAAAAUAUAAGCCCCAUUAAUUUAUUCUAAGUAUUAUCUUAAUCCUAGUGAGAUUGGCAAAAGAAACACUUGUUAAAGAAGGGUGGGAGUGGUCAUUGAGACAUGGUUAUUUCUUAAAUUUAGAAGAAGCAAGUCUUGUAAAAGAGGAAGCAUAGGGUUUGAUGCGUGUCUAAAUUAAAAGUACUUAAUGAGACAAAUUAUCAUUUACUUGCUUUGAAAGUGAAGAAAUUUAAUAUCAACUUUAGUUGGCAAAACGCCACAAAAUUAUGUUGGAGUAGUCACUGUUAUUUGCAUUACUUUUACUUGUCAGCCUGACGUUUGCAUCAGCAUGGAAGCCGACAGGACAGUAAACUUCGAAAACAUAAAAUUUUCUUGCUUGUGAAAAUGGAGACGAUGCAUGUUGAUAUAUAUCCUUAAAUUUUUUGCCUGGAGGUUGAUCGAUCCUGUGGCAUUUUACUGCAGGAUUUUUAGUUCUCGAAAGAGUAUGAAUACCUUCUCACAUGUUCCGCCAGGCUUUAGAUUCCAUCCGACAGAUGAGGAACUUGUCGAUUACUAUCUCAGAAAAAAGAUUGCUGCAAAAAGGAUUGAUCUCGAUGUAAUCAAGGAUGUUGAUCUUUACAAAAUUGAACCAUGGGAUCUUCAAGGUAGUUAUAUUUUUUUUAUUUGCUAGUGAUAAUUGGAAUAUCAAAUUUAAUUAGUUUCUUGCUUUAUAUAUUGGUUAACUGUUGUUUAUUUUGAUAGAGUUGUGCAAAAUAGGAACUGAAGAGCAGAAUGAGUGGUAUUUCUUUAGCCACAAGGAUAAGAAGUAUCCGACAGGAACUCGAACUAAUAGAGCAACAAAAGCAGGGUUCUGGAAAGCUACAGGAAGAGACAAGGCUAUCUAUUCAAGACAUAGCUUGAUUGGCAUGAGAAAAACCUUAGUGUUUUACAAAGGAAGAGCUCCAAAUGGACAAAAAUCAGAUUGGAUCAUGCAUGAAUAUCGACUAGAAACUAAUGAAAAUGGAACUCCUCAGGCAAGUCCUCAAUUUUCUUUUCUUUUCUUUUUUUUUUCUUUUUGUUUUAUAGUAGAAAAUUUCUUUUUGAACACUAAAAUUAAUUAGAUUUAGAAAUUAUUUCGGCAUCAGUUCAUUUUUAGUAUCAUUAAUUAUAUAACCCAGUUGUGCGUAUGUCAUUCUAUUUAAAACAGCUUCAAACAAUGUUAUUAGCUGCUAGAACAACAUGAUUUCUGCACUUCCUACAAAAAAUUAAAAUAAUAAUAAUAAAAAAAAGGGAGUUCAUAAAGACAAUAAGAAAUGCACAUUAUUGAAUUCCACAUGUGAGUAAACAUUUAUUCGAUGAAGUUCAAAUUUAGUGAGGCUAAUAUGAAAUUAUAUGUUGUGAUUGCACCAGGAAGAAGGGUGGGUAGUAUGCAGGGUGUUCAAGAAGAAAAUGCCAACAAUCAGGAAAGUUGGAGAAUAUGAGUCGCCAUGUUGGUACGAUGAGCAGGUCUGCUUCAUGCCAGAAAUGGAUUCUCCAAGGCGAAUUACUCAACCUUACGCAUCAUACCUCCACCACUAUCCUUGCAAGCAAGAGUUUGAGACAUUGCAAUAUAAUAUGCCUCAUGACCCUUUACUCCUCCAGCUUCCCCAGCUGGAAAGCCCCAAAGUUCCACAGUCAGCUGCAAGUGCCAACUGCAACUCCAGACUCCCAUAUGGUGGUUAUGAUACCAACAAUGGAAGUACCCUGCAGUCCUCAACUCUUACACAGGAUGAACAACAUCACCAAAAUUUGAGCUCACUUUACCAUAACAAUGGUGAGCAAGCUGUGGAUCAAGUAACCGAUUGGCGAGUCCUUGACAAAUUUGUUGCGUAUCAGCUUAGCCACGAGGAUUCUUCCAAGGAAGUCAGCUACUCCAAUGCGGCAGCCUUUCAUGUUGCUGAACAGGUGAACGUGCUUGCCAGUGAAUCAAAAAGGCCAGAAAAUGUUCAGGAAUAUGCCUCAACGUCAACAUCUAGUUGCCAAAUUGAUCUAUGGAAGUGAUCAAAAACACAAAUCUUAUAUGAAGUUAAUUACUAGAGAUGCAUAUUAAUUAAUUAUAGAUACUACAGUUUAUAUGAAAAAGAAAUAUCGAGGAUCCAAGUGGCUGUACAUAAUAAAAUUAAAAAUUGUAUUGGACUUAUUGUGUCCAUCAUCAAAAUAUUUGAUGAGACUAUGUAUGAGUUAGUAAAUAGAGUGCAAAUGCCAAAUGCAAAUAAGUUGGUACUCUUUGUGGCUGAGGUUUAUGGGGACUGACUCAGCUGUUGAAUGUUGAAUGUAUGUUUUUGUUUUAUCAUUUUUUUAAUUAUUUUUUUCAACCUACAUAAUUUGUAAACUUUUCUAUUUCGAUUAUAUAUAUGAUGUCUACAACUAGAGAAAGCAUCAACUUAAUUUUCAAUAUAAUUAUGAUUGGAAACAUUUUCUAGAAAAAUAUUUUUUUAUAUUUUUAAUGUUUUGAUAUUAAUCUGAUCAAAGGGAAAAUUAAUUUAUUUUUAAGAAAAAUGACAGACUCUAACUUGUAAAACAAGAAAUUCAUUUUCUAGAAUUAAAAAAUUUUAUUAACACCCUUAAAACUUUUAUAUAAAAAUUUAUUUUAAUAUAACUGUUUUAAUAUUGCAAUUAAACAAUAUACAAAAUUAUUUUCCACAAAGGAAUGAAGAAGCCUAAGCUGGAUUUUUUUUCUUCUUUAUUUAGUUACUAUAGAAUUAUAUUAAUUCAGUAGCACUCUGAAGCUAGUUAUCUUGAUCAGAAAAUGAAAAGCCUAAACUAACUAGUGGCUGAAACCUCAUAUAUAACUCUUAACUAAAAUGGGAGAAAGUUAGCCGCAGAGAGAGAGAGAGAGAGAGAGAGAGAGAAGAGAGAAUUGAUUACAAAUUAAUAAGCUACUAUUCAAAGAAUGCAUGCAGAAGAUAAAGGCUUCAAAUGACGGUUUCUUCAUCCACUUAAUUUUAGUUUGUUUAUCUUCUUUAGCAUGCACAAAGCCUCAGAUUCUAAAGAAACUUUCCCACCCUAUUCUAAGUCUGAACACAUACCUCUGCAAAAAGAAAAAAGGACUAAAAUGGACUCCUCCAGAAGUAUGUAUUAACCCUUCGAAUGGCUAUUUUCUUUUCUUGAAAUUUAGCUGGCCAUAACGAUAAUAACCAAAGCUGCGAAGCACAAGAACCAACAGCUUUUCAAGAUUAGAUACAUGGAAGCAUACAAGGGAUACCAAAUAAACAUACUUGAAUAAUGACCCACCUCAGCUUAAUUCUCUAGCUGCGAGAACCAGCCUGUGAUUUAGAUGAUUAUUGAAGAAGAGGAAGAAGGUAGAAUUUGAAAAUUUACCUGGGGAUUUAAAUAGUCGAUGGGCUGCAGGAAGCAAUUAAAAGUAUAGGAGACUCAUAAUGGAUAACAAGACUGACUAGUAAGAAAAGCAUGUUGGUUUUGGUGUUAUUGACCUGGACACAAACUCUUACUUGGGUUGAAGUCAAGCAUUAAAAUCCCUUUAAAGCAAUGGAAAUUUUUCCAAGCGACAUAAUGAGUAAGCGUGCUCUCAUGGACUCACCAUUAUCACAAACAGAGGAAGAGGGAUAAAUAGAGAAACCAGGCCAUAAAGUGAGUGCUCUUGCUGACCAAGUUUCACAUGCAGGAUUUGUCCUUUCGUGUUAGGGUUUUAUAUAUGCAAGGAUUUCAAUAUUCAUCCAUGCAUUUCUUGUGAUAAAAAGACAUUAACCGAGAAUUUCCCUUUCAUUGUGUCUUGUUUCAAUUCAGAAGAAAGAAGAAGCUCAGUUAAGCACGCACCUUCCCUACUAGCCCAAAAUAAGCAUGUCAUGCGCAUUGAUUCUAUGAACGUCAAUGUGAGUGAAUAAUUAGGGUUUACAUUUAAAAACGUUGUUUGCAUAUUAAGUAAGAUAACAUCAUUGACCAUGUGACGCAAACAACCCCCAUGUGAGGCACUAUUAUUACUAUGCUUCCUUAGCCUCCCAGAUCCCCACGGAAAUUUAAUCAAUUCAACUAUUUUAUUUGUCAUAUGCAUAUGGCACCAUUAAAGUGACAGCAAGCCGAAAUCGGCAGAUGAUUUGCAUCCGAAAAAUAGACAAAAGGGUACCCAUUUGGCCAUUUCCCAGCAAAAACAAGAGUUCUGCUUUGGUGCUAUAUAUUUAUUAAAAAAUAAGAAAAAUAAAAUAAAAUCUUACCUACUUUUUCAGCAUGCAUGAGAUGGCUCUGACAUGAUCAAUUCCAAAGCUUUUUGGCUUACUCACAGCUUUAAAAGAAAAGAUGCAUAACGAGCCAUUUUCAACCGGUUGGCAUUAACUGGAGCAAGGUAUAAUUUCCAACAUUAUGAAGUAGCUACGUGACAAAAGGAAUAUACGUAGAGAUACUGUUAUGUCUCGGAAGCAAUACAAAUACGUAGCUGUAGCACUAAUUAAUCAUAGUAGUGGCAUGUCAUUAAAGCGGCAUUCUAGUUAUUCGCAGUUAGUCAAUGGAUGAGCAAUUCGUGCAUGUCCCUUGAGGAGAAGAAGAGGAAAGAGAAUUGACAGGGUAGGCGGGCACAUUCCCUGAUUUGGUAAUGCCUGAAGGCCAACCGUCAAGGGGGCAAGCACUUCUUGGCUUUUUCAUUAAUUAAUGUUUCGCACUCUUUUUUCCCCCAACUUUUUAGUUUAUUUUCUUGGAUUUCCUGUCCACUUUAAAAAAGAAAAAGUAGAGAGCAAGGAACUUGAUUAGAUUUGUUUAACGGUUGAUCGAUGCUUGACUUGGGAGUUGAGACAGCCUUAUCUACCGCUGUACUGUGACGACAUCAUCUUACGUAGAGAGAACCAUUUUUACUCAUAAUUAAUACUUUUUUCAUUUUAUAAGAAUUAUCGAUUUAGAUAAAUUUAUUUUAAAAAUUUUAAAGUAAUAUUAAUUUUUUAUUUUUCAUAUAUAUUUUUAUUAAUUUUUAAGACAUUUAAUAUUAGAAAAAAAGUAAAACUAUUGAAAGGAUAUUUUAGAUAAAUUAUUAUAAAUUUUUUUAAAAUUAAAAUUAUUAAUUUAAAUAUUAUGGAUUAUGUUAUUCAAAGCAAGGCUUGAUCUUUCAAGUUGGACAAAGGAGCAAAGUGCACCUAAAUAAGGCAUAAAUGGUAGCUUCCCAUUUAGGGUAGGUUGCUAAUCUGCCAAAUGCCUAAUGGUUAUUAUAAAUUUAGGAAUAGCUAGCUAGAUUUUAUUGAAUAUGCUUCGAUUGCUCUAUGGUCUCGGCCAUGCCUCCAUAAUAUCAAGAGCGAUAAUAACUAAGCAACAAUAAUUUUGAGAAGCCAGGGCCUCAUGCAGACAUAAUAAUUGUACAACGUUGUGUACACGUCCCUACCUCUGCUUUUGUCCAACUCUUUUUUAAUUGUUUACGUUUUCAUCUUCAAUUGGACCAUUUCCUGCUGUAUAAUUUGACUUGAGCACAGAAACAUUACACAGAUAGUUGUAAUUUUUCCUUUGUCAAACUUUUUAGUAGUAGCGAUUUAAUUUGCACAACUUGGUUUGAUGGGUAAAAACAAUAUUUACAUAGAUAGAUAUGCAUGGGAAGGUUUUGCAGAGAUUAAAUAAAAUGGGUCACUUGGCAUCGCAGAGUCCAGUGCGUUCAUCGCAGAAGCCAUCACGAUCUAGCAGUUUCUGUGGCGGAGCACUUAUAAGAGGAGAAGAUGGGCUACCAUACGCAUUUCUUCUGCUGUUUCCGCAACCUAAGCUUUUUCUGGUGCUUACUCCAGUUAUUGGAUUUGUUCCAUUUGCAUACUUACAAAGAGCCUAACCCAAAACCAGCUAUUAAAAACUGUUCAUUAUUCCUAGUAAGACCAAAAUUAAUGUGGUACCUGCUUCUGGGGAAGGUCCAAAACAGCAUCACUGAAGUCAGCACCUUCAAUUAUGGCACCUCCAAGAUCACUCCGAGUCAGAACCGUUCUAACAAGCACAGCAUUUGUGAGGUUGGCCUCGUUCAGAACCUGCAUUUAUAUCUCUCAUCAUUCUUCGACUUGACAUUUUUUUUUUUUUUUUUUUUUUGGGUUUGGUAAGCCCCUAUGAUUAAAUUGUUACCUACUAAAAAUAAAAGAGAAUCUGAAGCAAAUGCCUUCAGAUUCAUAAGAAUUACAAAAUAAAGCAACAUCGAUCUGUCAUACCAUUCGGUCCAUCAAGGUGUCGCUCAAAUCAGCACCUGCUAAUUGUCAAAAGAAACUAACAAUUACUGCCUUAUUAUGAAUAGCCAACAGCUGGAAAUUUACUUCCCUAUGACAAAGGAUCUGUCGAUUACAGUAGUGCUUUAAUCAUAUUUUUGCAAUGAAUAAAAAUUAUUGUUGAAAUUAUAACUUUGUUAAAUAUAAACAAACUAUUUAUUAAAAUUAUUAAUACAUACAGUAAGAAAAUUGAAAACUUUUUACAACAAUUUUAAAAUUAUUGUUAAACUUUUGCCUUAUAAUAGAAAACUGAUAUUUAAACUAAUGUCAAUUUAGCUUAACCAACAAAUUUAAGGGCUUAUCCUACUCGGAAUAUUUACUUUAAAAUCCACAAUUUUAGGAAUUUAUUAUCAGAUCUAGGCUACAUUUGUUUAGUAAUAUUUUCCACAUUUUCUAACAUUUAGAGUAAUUAGAGAAAUUAAUCAACAGAAAAAUUAAUAUUCAGAAUAAAGAAAAUUCUAAAAAAACAAUCUAAAUAUUUUUACAACCAUUGCUUAUUCUAAAAAAGAAUUGAAGAAAAAAAACAUAGUUCUAAUAGAGGAUAAAUUAUUAACAGGUUCUUAUGUUUUAUCAUAAAUUAACUGCUUAGCCUUUUUUUUUACAAAUUAUUUAAUUAAAAUGUUUAUAUAUUUUAUAAAAUUAAAACUUUUUAAUUUUUUUUUAUAUAUAUUAGUCAACUUAAUUUAAUUUUAAUUAGAAAAAAUUAAAUAAUAUAAAUAUUUAAAAUUAUUGGUAUUAAAUAAUUUAAUAUAAUUAAAAUUACAAGACAAAAAGCAGUCAAAAUAUUUAAAAUUAAAACCAGUAAAAUUUUUUUUAUUAUAUCUUUUAAUUACAUAAAAUAUAGAAAUACUUUAAUUAAGGGAUUGAAAAAAUAAAGAUUAUAUAAUUAAUUUGAACAAAAUAAAGGAAGCUCCAUAAACUUUAAAAAGAAAUUGUUACUUAGCCUUGCGUUCGCGUCUCCCUACGACGUCGUUACCUAGUCUCUAUAAAAGGGGUUUGGUUACCUAGCAGGAUUUUACUUGCAGAAAGAUGAACCCUGAUGAUUUCUAUUUUUCUCCGAUGAUGGUUGAGAAUUGAGAAACUAUAUGCGUAUUUGCAGAAUCUUUGAACAGACCCGUUGAAUCCAGCAAAAACAGAGGUCAGAUCAGUUUGUCAACAUGCGUUUAAAUUUGGAUUAAGUUUUUCUGUUCGUCGGUAUUUUUUUAAUGUUAUGUUCACGGUGGUGUGCCUAUUUGUUAUGACAUUUUACGAGAAAGAAAAAUUCUCUCUUUUGAUUUCCCUUUGGAAUUAAUUUUAACCAUUGAUGAUUUCGAUGUUAUUUUAUUGAUUUUUCGUGUGUACUUUUUCUAUGCAACAAAAAGAGAGUGGGAACCGAAUUUUUGUUAAUAAAGCUUUAAAGAAUGUAAUUGAAUUGAUUUUCCCCCUUCCCUUUGCUUCUUCUUCUUUAGCUUAAUUGGUAAGAUAGAUCGAUGAGGCUGCAGGUAGGAAUUUUGUUAAUUAUUACCACUAUUUGCAUUCUUGUUGAAGAACUUGGUUCGCAAGUCAUUGUACAGAAAAAUUUAUGUUGUAAAGGAAUCAUAUUCACCUAGAAUCAGAAAUAUUAUGUCAGCGAGAGAUAAGUCAGAGUUUAUAAUGAAAAUCUGUUGAUAGAUAAGAUAAAAGUUUUGGUUUUCAAAGCAAGUUUUUAUUAUUUUAUUUUAUUUCCUUUCUGUUUUAUUGCUUCAGAAUUAUUCUGUAUGGUGUUUGUUUUAGUUAAAGGUUCUGUUCUGCUGUGUGGCAAAACAUAAAACUUUGGUUCAGAGCAGAAAAAUAAAGAUCCGAAAACGUACAGUACUUUUGUUAAUGGUUUGGUGAAAUUCACUUUGGGUGAUGCAGAUACAUAUCAGAAGUCUUGAAGUUGUAGAGAAUCAACAUGCUUUCAGAAAAUAGAUAUGAUUCUUCCAAAAUGAGUUUCAAAAGUAACGCAUUGAAUGUUGAAUGUGCUUCUUCUGAUGUUCUAAUCAAGCAUAGAAAGAGGAUAAUUGGAGCUACUAGGGAUUUUCCUAUAGGUUGUGGUCCCUCUAAAAGAUUUUGCACUGAAGCGUUAAAAAACUCGGUUCACUUUGAGAUGCCAGGCAUAUUAGAUGAUUUAAAGUCUAAAGAGAAUGUAACUGUUUCAUUUGAUAAGAGGGAAGACCUUGGAUUGGUAGCGGAAGUUGAAUUGCUACACAAAGUUUUGCAAGAUUCUUUGGAUACUGUAGGAUUGGUGAACCCCUUAGAAAUUUCAGUUUCUGAAGCUACUAAAUUGCCAACUAAAUUUGCCCCUUGGAGAAGGAUUUCAGCUAUUCGAUGCUUCCCUCAGGGUUGUGGAAGAAAGACUCAACAAGUCGAUAAAGAAGUUGCCCCAGAAUGUGUAUCUUUAGAAACCAAAGGAUUAGGUCCCCAUACACCUGAUGUGGACAUAUUAAGAAAGAAGGAAGAGACAAUUGGAAAGGAUAAGCAUCAAAAGAAUGUUGCAAAUCCUAGUAAAACUAAUGUAUUUCAAUCAUACUCUGAAUGCUUCGAGACUAACAAGGGGAAACCGCAUGAUAUGGACAAAUGCCUUGAUGGAAAAUUAUCAGGACGUAGCAACAGUCAUCCAUCACAGGAAAAAGCCUCUGACCAUAUGGAGGUUCCUGGACACCGGGUGGUAGUUCUGGCAUUGAUGGCUGCACCAAAUUGUCCAAGGAGAAAUCGGAAAAGGGGUUCGAGAUUGAGACCAACAAAUGAUGUGGCUAAAACCAAGGCUAAGAAGCAUUAAUUUUGUUGGAGUUGUUGAGAUUUUUGUAGAAGAAAAUUUUCUGAUGUGAUUGGGUUAGUUUAAUAGGAAUGGACUUUCUUAAUUUUAGCUAAAAAUGGAUUGUUUGUUUGUGUUGUACUAGGUGGAGUUGAUAGCUUUAUAAGGCUUUUUCCUUGCCCGUAAAAAGGAGUGUUUACUAUUGUAAAAAUUAGGAAGUGCUAGAAAUUUGAGUGUUGAGAGCUGGAAAAACGAUGAAGAAAAAGAAGAAAAAAUUGUCUUGUGCUCUAUUUUUUAUUAAUGAAAUCUAAAGUUAUUUUCUCUCCAUCUUUUUUUCUUUUGUUGUGCUAUUUUGAAACUUUGAUCAUUUGUUUAUUGAAAUUGAAGUUUUAUCUUUAGUUUUGUUGCUGGACAUUUGGUAAUCUUUUAUAUAUAAUUAUAUACUUUAUUUUUCUCGGUUUUAUGUUUAUCGUUUUUAGAUAGCCAUUGUUCAUUUUAGCUAACUAUUUUUCGUUCUAAAUUCAAUAGGGGUAUCAACUUGUUUUUAUUUUUUAAUAUGGUUUUAGAGUUUCUUUUGAUUUUUCAACAUGAUAUCAGAGUCUAAAUAAUUUUUAAGGUUCCAUUUUUUCAAAAUGUUUGGGAAAGUUUGAUUUUUAUGAUGAUUGUUGUUUCCUCCAUUUUUCUCCAUUUUCAAGUUUGAACAAGCUACGAGAGCUUAAGUUUUAUUUCUUUGUUUGGGAGGUUUUUCUGAAAUUUAUGAGGGAACUGACAAGUCCAUAAACUGCAAAACUUAUUUGAAGAAACCAACAAAUCUAUAAACUGGUGCACAUCCAUAAACUGCUAAACUUUGUGAAUGUGUUGGUAAAAGGCUUUUAGCCAUUUUUCUUCAUGAAUCUUGUUUGUUUGAGGAGGAGAUUGAAGAUUAAAUUUGAAGAAGCAAAAAUCUCAAGAAAAGAGUGUUGGAGUUGCUGAAAUUUUUGUGGAAAAAUUCUUUAUGAUGUGAUUAGGUUAGUUCAAGAGGAAUGCGCUUCCUUAGUUUUAUCUGAAAAUAGGUUGUUUGAUUGUGUUGUAUUAGGUGGAGUUAUUGGUUUUGUAAGGCCUUUACAUAUAAAAAUGAGUAUUUGCUGCUGUAAAAAUUAUAAAAAAUAGGUUGUUUGAUUGUGUCGUAUUACGCGGAGUUAUUGGUUUUGUAAGGCUUUUUCUUUACAUAUAAAAAUGAGUGUUUGCUGCUGUAAAAAUGAGAGAGAGAGAGAAAAUGCUGGAAAUUUGAGUGUAAAAUUGAAAAAAUGAAGAAGAAAAAAUUUUCUUGUAUUGUUUUUAUUAAUGAAAUAUGAAGUUAUUUUCUCUCCAUCUUUUUCUCUCUUUUAUUGUGUUAUUGAAGUUUUUAUUAUGUGUUUGUUAAAGUUUAAGUUCCUAUUUUUAACCUUAGGUUGGACAGUGAUGUCAGCUUGUUUUUUUUUAUUUCUUAACAUGUUAUCAGAGUUUAUUUUGAUUUUUCAACAAAUUUAGAACGAGGUAUAAUAGUUGCCACAGUUAUAAAUUAAUAUUUUGCUAGGAAAAUUUGUGCCAAAGCAUCAUUGAGUUACUCUGUCUACAAAAGGAUAGAGUCUUGUGAGU
rnacentral:lncRNA from 1 species